GAAUAGUGGAGGUGGGGUGGGUUGGAGAAGCAGCACAAACAGUAGACAAAGGUCUGGUUCUUGGGUGAGGCCCACUAAUAAGUGAUGGUGCUGCAGAGCUCUUCUUGACACAACAAAGCCCAGAUGAUCUCUGAACAAGUUCAGUUUUAUAAGACGACUCACAGAGGAAAGAAGAUAAAAAUGGAGAAGCAGUUAAUUAAAAAACGGUUUUUCUAUGGUGUGCCCAUGGGCACACAUUAAGCACCAAAAUUUAUGAAAUUGAAGGGUUUCUAUUGGCUUACCUUCUUUAAUAAUGAUGGACCCUCCUGCAGUUACAACAACCACACCAAUCAAAACCCUCCAUUUUUAUUAAUGUUAGUGCUUAGCAUGUGCCCAUGGGCACACACUAGCCAAACCGAUUAAAAAAAAUUAUUUUUCAAAAAUAUACAAGUGUAUGUUUGGUUGAGACAACUUCUAGCUUUUUCCGACAAAAAAUCCGCUUCUAUUUUUUGUAACAUGUUUGUGUAAAAAUUAAGAAUCACUUGUUAAGAAUGCUAAUUUUUAUUUCAGGACUUCUACUUAUUUCCCAAACAGUUUGAUCACUUAUAAGUCUUAAUUUAAUCCUCAAUUCUAGUUCAUUUAUUUAGUUUAAGCAAAAACACUUUUUUUAGAUUCAUCCAAACAGCCUUAUAUUAUAAAAAAAUAUUUUUAAAAAUACUAAUUAAUUUUUUUUUUUAAAUUACGAUUUACAACUAUUGCAACUAUAUUUGCAAACGAUCAACCACAAAUUUUAAUCAUAUUUACAAUCAAUCAAUCACAAAUGCAAUUUUACAUACUAUGUUACACAACAAGUUCGCUUCCACGCCUAAGAAAAAAAAAGAAAUCUACAUAAAAUAUACACACAUCUAAAAUGUCUAACUUGCUCGUAUCAAGCAGUUACUAAAAUCCUUUUUUCAAAACUCUAAAUUACUCUUGACAAAAUCCCCGGUUAUCAAAACCCCACCUUAUAAAUUCCUCAUUUAUUAAACCCUAUGAAUUCUUUUAUUUCCCAUCGAUCCCUAACAAUCUCACCUCUAUUUUCUACUUCUUCGAGCUCUAUACAUUGGCUAUGUUGCACUGUUAACUCUUCUAUACUCCCGUUCUCAAAGAAUGUCAAGCACAGAAGAUGUUUAGAUACGUGUCAUUGCCUGAUGAUUUGCGCACUGUAUCUUAUCGGAGUGAGACCCACGAGUUGCAUAGCACAAGAGAUUUGUAGGUACGUGUCGUUACAUGAUGAUUUGUGCAUUGUGUCUAAUUGGAGUGGGAUCCACAAGGUGCAUACGAGGAUUUAUGUAGCAUAAGGUUUAGAAGCAAGUAUUGUCCACGACAUAACUUGUAUAUGUGGUGAGAGAUGAUUGUGUCAACAUGAGUCUGCUUCCCAUUUUCUCUAAUCACCUCAUUUAGUUUAUGUUUUACAUCAGUUUUUUUCAAAAAUUAAAUCAGAGUUACAAUUUCAGUUGCAAAACGAUUUUUAAAAAUAAAACUUAGUAAAUAGUAAUUUUGGAAAUAAGUUUCAAAAUGAUAAUACUUCUAAAAAAGUAGUAUUUUGAAUAUUUUUUCUAAAAAAUUCACUUGAAAUAAUUUUAAUUAUCUUAAAUGACAUAGUAUCGAAAGAGUUCUUCAAAAUAAUUCAAGUUUUAUUAUAUUAUUUUAAUAUGUCUUAUUAAUUCUCUGAUCUAAUCGUUUCAAUUUAUCAUCAGUUAUGUGAUUAAAUAAUUCCCAUCAAUCGAAUCUUAUUUAUGCAAUUUAGAAUCCCCACCUCUAUUUAACAUAUUUCCUUUAGAUUGAUUAAUCCUGUAAAUUAAAUACCAUUCAAUAUCAUUAAAUUUGUAAAUCUAAAUCCAAAAUAUUUAUAACUUAAUGAUUUUAGUGUUAAAACUUUAUAAUAUAACAUAUUACACAACAUGUGUCUAUAUAAUAUAUAAUAUAAAUGAAAUUAAUGAAGGUAUGAUAUAUAACAGAAACAAAUUCAUCCUUUGUCCAUCAUCCUCAAAAUCAGUGGUAAGUCCAUUUUUUUUAUGAUAUUGUCAUUGUUUCCACUAAUUGUAUCAUUCAAGUAUUGAAUUAGUUGCUCUUUCUUUUUCGCAGUUUCACUCGGGCAAGGAGUUUGUUAACAAUUUUGCAGUAUCAGACGAAACCUUCCAGCUUAUUGAAGGUAAACUUUAUACUAUUAGUACAAUUAAUUGGAUGAGUAGAAAUUUGGGCUGAUUGAAGCAAUAUUAUAUUCAUCAUUACUGUCAGUGGCGGAUCUAGGAUUUUGACAAAGGGGGCUUCACAAGUAUUAAAAAAAAAUUACAAAAGUCUUAAAGAUCUCAAAUACAUAAUAUUCCCUAAUUAUAUUUAUACAUUGUCACGAGGAGGUAAUUGCAUUCUUCGAGAUGCCAUUUUUUGAAAACGAUCUAAAAUUAAUUCACUAUUGAUCUUUGCAAAUACAUCCUUCUCGAUGUAUACCACCAAGCUAUCAUUCAUCCAUUCAUCUCCCAUUCGAUUUCGCAAAUCAGUCUUGACGAUAUUCAUUGCAGAAAAUAUUCUUUCAACGAGAGCAGUUGCCACAGGUAGAAGUAAUGCUAAUUCAGUCAAACGAUACACCAAUGGAUAUGUGCAAGACUUCUUAGUAGCUGCCAAUUUUUUUGCAAGAGUUCCCAAAUCUCCGAUACUAGAAAAUUCUUGAUUUCUCUUGACAUCAUAAAUAUACAUGCCUAAUUGAUUGCGAAUCAUUAGAAGUUCUGUCCAUGAAAAAUCCUCUGGAUAAAGAUUAGCAAGAUGCACUAGUUUAUCAGCAUCUAAGGCAGAAUAUGAAUCUCUAGGAUCAAGACAAGCUAGAAGCAAGUCUGUAGUUGUUUCUGGAAACCGGUUAUCCAACUCUUGUGAAAUUAAAUCAACCACCUAAAUUGCAAAUGAUAAAUAGUUAUAUUAAUAAAGAGGUAAUGUAUUGAGAAAAACACAAUUGAAAUGGACUAGGUAAAUUACCUCACAAAAAUUUCAACCCGAUAAUGAUGAUAUAUAGUUGGUAACACUUUGUCCAUCUCUUCUCAUUCGGGUACGAGAUUGUAUGAUAUCAUCCAUAUUACUUGUUGGCUUAAAAAGAAAGCAACAAAAACAAUAAGCUGCAUCCUUGAAUAUACUAUAUUCCAACCAAUCAUGUAAAUCAAACCAAUCCGCUUGAAAAGACCUUUUUAAUUCACCAAAUUGACUUUUUGGAAAAUUAUGUACUCUUGGUUGACAAGGACCUUUAGAUAUGUACUCUCUCCUAACGCGAUCACUAACCCCAACAUACCAUCUUUCAAUUGGUUUCCGUUCUCCUGGAUCACUUUUAAUAUCAUUUAGAUCAAACUCAAGUGUAGAAUUGGAGUUUAUUUCUACAUUUAAUCUAGGAGAGGGACUACUACCACCACUUGAUCAAUCUAAUGAAUUUCUUGGCCUUUAAGUAAAAUAUUUAGCAAUUGACAUUGAGCCUACAUAAAUUUUAACACUUAAAUAUUCAGUUCACAAUUAAUCCCUAAUUUUAACAUAUACAAAAAAUNNNNNNNNNNNNNNNNNNNNNNNNNNNNNNNNNNNNNNNNNNNNNNNNNNNNNNNNNNNNNNNNNNNNNNNNNNNNNNNNNNNNNNNNNNNNNNNNNNNNNNNNNNNNNNNNNNNNNNNNNNNNNNNNNNNNUUUUGUUUAGUGAAUGGGCUGGGCUAAUAAUAUAAAAGUAUGGGCUGAAAUUGUUGGGUGGGCUCACUUCCAAAACCUAAAAAAUUUAUACUACAAUAUGAAUUAACUAUGGGCUCACGGGUGUGCUUAAGCCCCAGAGCCCCCAUGGUGUAUAUGCCACUGAUUACUGUUAUUGUUAUUUUUAAUAAAUUUUUGCUAACAAUUGUAAAUGAUUUUGUAGUCUCUAAUGCCAGAUUUGAAUCUUCCCUACAAGGAGAAGGAAGAAAGCAGUGAUAUUGCUUCCAAGCUAAUUGCUUUCGGCUGCAGAGCGUGCUAUAUUUUCGUAAUAGUACCUGAAAACAAUCAAAAGUGCCCCAAGUGUCGUCAAAGCAUCACUCUGUUUAAUGAUUUUGCUAGAACCCAUACGUGGGCAAAACUAGAAAAGGCCUAUAAAUCAAAAUACUUAUUUUGAAUAGGCCUUUCCUAGUUUUGCCUACGGGCUCUAGAAAAACCAUUAAACAGAAUGGUGCCUUGACGACACUUGGGGCACUUUCGAUUGUUUUCAAGUACUAGUGCGAAAAUGUAGCACGCUCUGCAGCCAAAAGCAAUUAGCUUGGAAUUCCUUCUCCUUGUAGGGAAGAUUCAAAUCUGGCAUUAAAACCUACAAAAUCAUUUACAAGUGUUAGAAAAAAAUAUUAAAAACAAGAAUUACAAUAAUGAUAAAUAUUAUAUUGCGCACAGUUGCUUCAAUCAGCUCAAAUUUCUACUCAUCAAAGUAAUAGUACUAACAAUAUAAAGUUUACCUUCAAUGAGGAUGGUUUUGUCUGAUAGGAUAGUUAACAAACUCCUCGCUUGAGUAAAAAUGCAAAAAAAAAAGAAGAGAGCAACUAGUCUGAUACUUCAUCAAUGAUACAAUUAGUAGAAGCAAUCAUAAUACCAUAAAGGAAAUGGACUUACCACUGAUUUUGAGGAUGAUGGACCUGUGUCUACCGGAAAAAGGGAGCCAGCUUUGUCAGACAGCUUAAACAAAGCCUCUGACGCAAGUUGUCGAAAUUCUAAAUUCCUUGAUUCUAAAAGCUGAAGUAGAAUUUUUAGUCCUGUAACAUUAAGAGUGCACAACCUAAUGAAUUACUGUUGUUAUUAACAAGAAAUGAUUUUCGGUCAUCAGGUGAACAAAAAAAAAAUCGAUAUUGAAUAUCUGUCAUAAUUAUGUAAAGCCUCACAAUCAGGUUGUUGACAUUUCUAUGGAGCAUGAUGUCAAGAAAUUUGGGAGUCUACCAGGGAUAAUCAAAAUUAGGCGGGGUGGGGUGUUAAAAAUAUAUAUUAUAGUUUUAGGUGAGAUCUUUUUUUCCAACGGAUAUUGUUAAAUCCAAAUAAACAUAAUCAAAUAUCAUGUUGCGUGAUAUUAUUAGUAAUAUGAUAGAACUGUAUAAAGGAAAUGUACUUAAUUAAGUAGUUCUUAUUAAAAAAAAUGCUUAUAGAAGGUUUAUUUUAGGCAACCUAAUUAGAUCAAUUAUAAAAUAUAAAUAUAUCUUAUCUGUUACAUAUAUUAGAUUAUUAAAAUAUAAUGUAACAUGCAAUAGGGAGAAAUUGUCCACUCGACCGGAUAUACAUAUUUCAAAAAAAAUAAAGUUAUAUGAUCAACAAUAAACACAUUAAACAUACUUUGAAAAAAUAGUUAUAUGGUCAACAGUAAACAUACUAAACAUAGAACAUAAAACAAGACAACUACUUUACUCACUUUGGCUAUGUAAGAUCGCCCAUGUACUAUAGUUCAUCUGCUGCAACUUUCAAUUGAUGAUGCCCAUCUGACAAAAACACAUGUAGAUUUUUAAAUUAUAUAUAUAAAUAACAAAUAUAAUUAACAAGCUCGGUAUAAAUCUUAAAAAUCGAAAACUUACAUGAUAUGCGGAUGAAGAAUACUUCAUGUUUCGGAGCAUUUUCUUCAUUGUUUACUGUAUUUAUAAAUUAUUAUUUCACAAAUAUAUUGAUCCAAACAAAUUAAUAUGAUAUAUGAGCUUUUUAAUUUAUACUUCAAAUAUUGAUCUCAACUCGAGCCUCAUUAUAUUCAAGACCUAAUAUGAUUAAAAUCCAAAUUGGUUCAAUUGAUAAUAUCAAGAAUAACCCUUGGGUUCAAAAUCGAAAUUUAUACAAAAUCCAUGUAUAUUUAAAAAGCUUGAGAUUUUUUUUUAAUGGUGUACAUACNUAAAGGAAAUGGACUUACCACUGAUUUUGAGGAUGAUGGACCUGUGUCUACCGGAAAAAGGGAGCCAGCUUUGUCAGACAGCUUAAACAAAGCCUCUGACGCAAGUUGUCGAAAUUCUAAAUUCCUUGAUUCUAAAAGCUGAAGUAGAAUUUUUAGUCCUGUAACAUUAAGAGUGCACAACCUAAUGAAUUACUGUUGUUAUUAACAAGAAAUGAUUUUCGGUCAUCAGGUGAACAAAAAAAAAAUCGAUAUUGAAUAUCUGUCAUAAUUAUGUAAAGCCUCACAAUCAGGUUGUUGACAUUUCUAUGGAGCAUGAUGUCAAGAAAUUUGGGAGUCUACCAGGGAUAAUCAAAAUUAGGCGGGGUGGGGUGUUAAAAAUAUAUAUUAUAGUUUUAGGUGAGAUCUUUUUUUCCAACGGAUAUUGUUAAAUCCAAAUAAACAUAAUCAAAUAUCAUGUUGCGUGAUAUUAUUAGUAAUAUGAUAGAACUGUAUAAAGGAAAUGUACUUAAUUAAGUAGUUCUUAUUAAAAAAAAUGCUUAUAGAAGGUUUAUUUUAGGCAACCUAAUUAGAUCAAUUAUAAAAUAUAAAUAUAUCUUAUCUGUUACAUAUAUUAGAUUAUUAAAAUAUAAUGUAACAUGCAAUAGGGAGAAAUUGUCCACUCGACCGGAUAUACAUAUUUCAAAAAAAAUAAAGUUAUAUGAUCAACAAUAAACACAUUAAACAUACUUUGAAAAAAUAGUUAUAUGGUCAACAGUAAACAUACUAAACAUAGAACAUAAAACAAGACAACUACUUUACUCACUUUGGCUAUGUAAGAUCGCCCAUGUACUAUAGUUCAUCUGCUGCAACUUUCAAUUGAUGAUGCCCAUCUGACAAAAACACAUGUAGAUUUUUAAAUUAUAUAUAUAAAUAACAAAUAUAAUUAACAAGCUCGGUAUAAAUCUUAAAAAUCGAAAACUUACAUGAUAUGCGGAUGAAGAAUACUUCAUGUUUCGGAGCAUUUUCUUCAUUGUUUACUGUAUUUAUAAAUUAUUAUUUCACAAAUAUAUUGAUCCAAACAAAUUAAUAUGAUAUAUGAGCUUUUUAAUUUAUACUUCAAAUAUUGAUCUCAACUCGAGCCUCAUUAUAUUCAAGACCUAAUAUGAUUAAAAUCCAAAUUGGUUCAAUUGAUAAUAUCAAGAAUAACCCUUGGGUUCAAAAUCGAAAUUUAUACAAAAUCCAUGUAUAUUUAAAAAGCUUGAGAUUUUUUUUUAAUGGUGUACAUACUCGUAGAUGAAUUGUAUCGAAAUACAAUAAACCGCAACCGGGAUUUUUUUUUUUCAAAAAAGUUUAUCAUCUAACCGAAAGUCAUGCAAGCAUAACUCCGGACGCUUAGACAACAAAGCUUAAAUGAAUGAGAAAAGAAUACCAUGCACGUCUCGCUUCCACAGUAUCCUGAGAAAAAAAACAAUCAAACAAAACAUAAAUCAAUAUACAAGAAAAAUCUAAUAAAAACAAAACCAAAAGAGUUUAUAUAUCAAGAAUAGAGAGAGAGAAUAUAUAUAUAUAUAUAUAUAUAUAUAUAUAUAUAAUGUAGAAUUAUUAAUUAAUAUCUAACCAAAGGAACACAUUAAAAUUUAAUAAUUUAACUGAGGAAUAAAAAUUGAGUUUAACAUGUAAUUAAAUAUAUUAAAUGUAAUGACCAUCAAAAUGGUACUCCCUCCGUCCCAAAAUAGUUGUCACAUUUGGUUUUGUGCCGGUCAAAUUGACUAAAGUUUGACUGAAAUUUAUUAAUAUUUUAUCAAUUGACAAAUUAAAAAAAAUAUGUCAUCGGAAAUAACUUUUAAUCUACUUUAAGAUGUAAUUUUCAGUUUUUUAAAAUAAUGAGUAAUUGACUUAUAAUAUUUAGUCAAAACUUAGUCAAUUUGACCAACAAAAAUAGAAAUGUGACAACUAUUUUGGGACGGAGGGAGUAACAAAAGCCAUAAAAAUGGCACUAAAGGCCAUUAAAGGCAUAAAAUGUCAUAAUAAUGACCCCCAUAAAUGGUACUAAAUAUUCAUAAAGAAUAUUUAUCCAAUCAUAAUCUAAAACGUAACUAUUAUAAUUAAAACUAAUAAAGACAAAUAAUGAACAGCCAAUUAAAGUCAGUCCAAAUUAAAAUUAAAUUAUUGUCUAAAAAUCAAAUAAUCCUAAUAUAUUAUGAAUUCAUAAAAUUUAAAAUUUAAAACCUUUUAAAAUCAUGAAUAAUGACCAUCAUAAAUGUUAUUAAAUAAUCAUAAAGAAUAUUUAUCAAGAUAUAUUCCUUUCUAAAAAUUAAUCGAAAAAAUUUGAAUCCUUGCAAUUAAAAAAAAUUUUGCACAUAAAUAUACAUACAAAUAUAAUAUAUAAAAGCAACGUCAUAAUUAAAAAUAAAUUGAUAUCGAAACAAAAUACUCAACAAUAGAACAUGCACCUAAAAACAUGUUAAAAAACUAAAAAAUUAAUCUAGAAUAUCAAAUCACACACUUAACAAACCCACACAAUCAAGAACAUUAAUAUUUGAGGGCGUUAUUUGUGUCUUAAUUAAGGGCAUUAAUAUUUUAUUAAUUGUGCCUUAAUUAAGAGUUUAAUUGUCUCAAUUAUGAUUUAUCAUAAUUGUGUAAUUUUUUAUCACCACAUGCAUAUACACGCGAUUUUGUUAAUAAUUAUUUAUUGGAUAUAUUUUUUAUUUUUAUUUUUAUAAUAUAUAUAAUCUGUUAUAUAUAUCGACUUAUAUUCUUCUUGUUUCCUCUGUUUUAUUUUCAGGACUCUUGGAAGAAGACGGAUUUUCUUUUCGGACAUUAAAGUCUUAUUGUCUAAAUUUCCCCGGUCAUCUUGUAUGUCCGACGGUUAGAUAAUAAGCUUUCUUGAAUGAAAGAAUUAUCUCGGUGAAUUGCCGGUUUAUAUCUGUGAGAUUUAUUCUCAAUUUCAAAAAAAAAAAAAAAAAAAAAAAAAAAAAAAAAAAAAAAAAAGAACACUUAUCGAAAAUCUAUAACAACCUAAUUUCAAAUCGAUAUUCCGGUCAACCAUAACAAAAUCUGGCCAAGUUAAAACAUGUCAGAAAAACCCGGAUAAUCAUUAUAAACUUAAUCGAUAAAACUAAAACAAACAGAACACACAACAAACAAUCCAGAUCUGGCACGCUAACAUAUAUAUACAAAUUACAACGAAAAAAAAAAAAAUAGUUAGAUCAUCAAAACCAGUAGUAUAAGCACAUUUAAACAAGAUUUAUUAUCUAAAAAACAACUUGAAAAAGAAUAACAAAUCGUACAAAGAUCUCAUAUUAAUCAACACAAUCCAAAAAUAAUUUACUCUACUGAACGAAUUAAAACAUGUACUAUGAUCCACAAUGUAUAUCAAACAGUUACAAAUCAAUCAAACAUUACAAUAAACACGUAUAAUCAAGAGCAUACAUGCGUUAUACGGAGGAAAAAAAGGAUCAAACACAAUAACAUGUGAUAAGCCAACACAUAUAAAUGACAAUACAUGUAUAAUUGAAGAGAGAGAUAAGAAGUACUGACCUAAUCGGAGCGAUAGAGCAGGAUCACAUAGAAAUUUCUCGCUUGCAAGGCGCAAAUGCUUUCGAUCUAUUCACAAUCAAAGUUUUAAAUACAUCACAACUUAACAUUCGCCGCAGAAAAGAACGAUGACCAGAGUCGAAAUGCUUCGAGAGAUUUAAAAUAUAUUAACAUCAAAAUUUGGGAUAUCCAAGAAACAAAACAAAACAAGUAUCCAUCUAUUCAAAGAAUUACCUAAUAUGUAAAUUAAUAAUUUAAAGAAUAACUUACCGAUUUGAAUUAGAUAAAGUCUUGAUCCCAAGUAUUUUUGCACGAUAUCCAUAUUUAUAAACAAAGCAACACUCUGAAUUUAAUUUGUAUAAUUUUGUUGGUGACAACGUUCGUUGUUAUAGGUGUGUUUAUCUAUUCAGAGUAUAAAAUUUUUAGAUGAGAAGAUGAGAUGGGAGAAAGGAGAAAUCAUGAGAGGCGGCCACGAAUGAAAUAGGGUAAAAGAUGGUACAAUAUUUAUAGGAAAAUUAUGUAUGAAAUAAUAUGAAAAAACCCAUUUUAAAAACAUAUAGGCCCAAUCUUUUUUUUUGACAGACAUAUAGGCCCAAUCUGGAUGAACAAAAUUUUAUAAUUACCAUCAAAAAAUUAUAAUAACUAACUUUUUGAAUAAUUAUGGGCUUUAAUUGUACCUACUUGUAAUAAAUUUAUAAUAUAAGUAACUAGUCAAUACAAUUGUAUAUUGUGAUGACAUUAUAAUAUUUAUUUUUUUUUUGUAAAUUUCUAAAAAAAUAUUUAUCAAGUUUAUAAUUUAAUCAAAAACUCAAUGAAAAAUUAUAGAUAAUACAAUAUAUAAAUAGAAAAAUAAUAAUUUAUUAAUGAGGUUUUUCACAAAUACCCGAUUCUCGAAAGUCUUUUGCAAAAAUACUGUUAUUUUUUUAAAAAAUUUGCAAAUAUAAAUUUUUUAAAUAUAUAAAAAUACCAUAUUUCUGAAACUUCUUUACAAAAAUACAAAGUUUGCACUUAUAACCGUAUCUGUAAUCACAAAUACAACUUAAUAAAAUGUUGAUUUUUUAUAUGUAUACACACACACAAAAAUAUAUAUANUAUAUAUAUAUAUAUAUAUAUAUAUAUAUAUUGACGAAAAGCUAAAAGUUCAAUAAAAUACCGAAACCUAGUGGGGACAAACCCCGAACUAUCAACUACAACCUGAUUGUGAAACAAAUAACCCGAACUAUAAACUACAACCUGAUUGUGAAACAAAUAACGGACUAGCAAACAGUCAUUUUGUUUUCAGAUCCUUAACGCAUAGAAUAUUUAAAUUCUUUUAAUCUAAGAAGUAUCACAAUCGUAUCUCUGGUAAUCCAACCUACAUCACCUUUGAACAUAGUAGCAUCGCAAUUGACAUUGAGAUAAGCAUCAUCCUCAACAUGAACAGUUUUUCGCCGUGAAAGGAAAACUCUUGCGAUAUUCGCCACCGUACCAUAUUUGAUGUGAGUCUUACGGAUCGCCCAAAAUACAAUAUAAGCCAUUAUUAGAAAAAUUACCAAUACCCUUAACAAAUCACACAAAACAUCAACAUUCCAUUAGAAGCGUAACGUCUGAUGAUGUAGGAUUGUUAACAAACUCCUCAGCCCAAGUAAAUCUGCAAAAGAAACAAUGGUGUUUACAAAUCAUAUUGAUCCAAUGCUUAAUGUCCUCAACACAGAACUAAAAAUGAAAAACUAUGUCUUUUGGCAUGAUUUGGUUUGCGAGACUAGCUACUAGCAUUAAGUAUAUAUACUUAAAAUUUAAAACUGUGCUAAAUCUGUUGAGGCAUGCAAGUAUACUAGCGAAGAUAACUUAAUAAAAACCUAAAACAUAAUUAGGUUUGUACAUCAAAAACAUGUUCUGCAGUUAACAGCUCUAGUACUGAAAGCAAACAAGCUAAUAUUUAGAGUAAACUAAAAAAGAGCAGCUAGUCUAAUAUAUACUUCAAUGAUGCAAUUAGUAGAAACAAUCACAAUACCAAACAAUUAACAAAUGGACUCACCGAUGAGUUUGAGGAUGUAGGACUAGUGUCUACUGGAAAAAGGGAGCCCGCUUAAAUUUACCGCUGUUUUUAAUGAAAAUUGAUUCUUGGUCUUCAGGUGAACAAGAGCCAGUGCAAUCCUCCGCUUGAUAUACCACUUGCAAUACUAGGGGGUGUUUGGAUUAAGGUUGGGAAUGGGAAUCGGGAAUGGGAAUGAGAAUGGUAUGAUAACCCAAGGGAUAGGAAGCGUAUCAUUUAACCACCCAAAAGGAUUGGGGUUCCCAUUCCAUAACACCAAAUAACUAAUCCAAACACUUGUCAUGGGAUUAAGGUUCCGAUUCCCAUUAACCGGGCUCAUUAUCGCUUUACUGCUGCAUAUAUUGUCUACAAUUAUAGAGAUUUUCCUGUCCUAUUCUUAUUACAUUAAGUAUCUUUAGGGUUAGAACAAACAUAUAUAGUACAGAAGUAGUGGCUAAAAUGUGAGAAACAUAAUGUCAUGGAAUGUACGUAAGACGCAUAAUGUACUAUACUCUAAUUUUUAUAUAUAGUUUCCAGUACAGGUAGGAGAAAAAUACUUGAUUAAUUAAGGAAUUCUCCGCCUUCAAGUUUCUGAACUCCUCCAGCGGUGAUAAAGUUCACAACAUUAUCCUAUGAAUUAGUACAAAGAGCAGUGAUAAUACUUAUAGUACCAAUUACUACCUCCAUCCCAAAUUAGAUGUCCCCGUUGAAUUUGGGCACGUAACUUUAGGUGCAUUGACCGUCUACUUCCGAAAUUUAUUUUUUUAUUUUUUCUUUUAUAAAUGAAAAUUUCAUAUUUUAAUUUUUAUUUGCAAAAAUAAAAUUUUAAAAAUAAGUCACGUAUCUAUGCGGUUAAUGAGCCUUAAAUUGUGUGCACAUAAAGAACGAAUGCUGCAUUUUGUUGCAUAUGUUUUAUAGAUGUGUAAUACAAAGAAAAUACCAGUUGUACAAACUAAAAAUCGAUUUUUUCCAAAAUGAAAUAUAUUACUUGUUUUGAAAGAAAAAGUUACAUGAGCACAUUAGUACCAACUUACACUACUGAGACAUGUUUCAUUUUGCCCUGUAACCAAUGCUAGAAAUUUGAUCGCUACUACGGUUAUGAUUUAUCGGACAACCCUAGCUAAAAAAGGUACUUUGGACAUUUCAUAUGGUAUUUUCUGUAAUCAAAGCCUAAUUUUCACUGUGCUCAAUAUUGUAAGACAUUUUAGGUGAGCAUGGGUUGAGAAGAGGCAAUGCAAAUGCGAAAUGAAUAUAUUUUCCCGAGUGCUAGCUGCAAUUAUGUGUAACUAACAUUUUAAGCUUAGUGUGCAAGUUCUAAAAAAAUGGUAUAUAGUUGUUAGUACCUUAGUAAUGUUAUGACAGGUUGCAAUGCUCCUGCCUCAAGAGAGCCAUUUUUAUGUUUCGAGGGGACAAGUUGAUGACAUGCUCAAUCACGCUAACCUAUCAAAACCGCCAACUACUUUUUAAUUUGAAAGAUCUGAGCUGAAUUUGUAGCUAGGAUUUAUAAACUGAAAUGUAUACCACAAAAUUUCAGGCACCUAAAAUUUCACCCUCCAACUUACCGCUUAUUUCUGUAUGGUAACAUCCUCAGAGCAAAGCAACAAAGUAAGGGCAGGUAAAGCAUUGCAUUCUACAAUCUGAAAAAUAAGGAGAGAAUUCAAAUUAACUGUUGUCAUAUAUAAAUUAUAAGUAGUUUUAAUUGAAUUAUGUAGUACCUCAGCGGUAAUUAAUUUACAAACCUGAUUUUUGUUUUCAUGAUUUUCAAAAGAUAAAGUUCUUAACGCCCCAGCAACUGCUCUCUGCAAAUCAGUGACAAACUGCAGUACAAAUCUAUAUAACUAAAUUACAACGCUGACCACUCUCUAUAACAUGGUACAGAAAUAGAGCGCCAAAAAAAAUGCAGCACAAGGUCCAUUGAAGAGAUAGAUCUUAAAUUAAAAAAAUGAUCACAAAUCAACGAUUAGUAAAUAUGCAAGGUAUUGAAUAGUUGCUAAUUCAAAGUGGACAGCGGUUUUCACAUUUUCCUGUCCUACUGAUUAUAUAAUAAAAGUGCAACUUUUUAGUCUCUUUGUAAUAAAAGUAGUGUAAUUUUAAUUUUCAAUAUUGUGAGUAAAAGGUUACAUUUUUAUCGUAUACUAUGACAUUAGUGGCGAAUAUUAAAUGUAGACAAUAAGAAAAUUAAGGUAGAAUAUAUAAGAUAAAAAUGGAAAAUAGUCGUGCAUCGCAAGAGCUUGAUUCACAUAAUAAUGAUGUGCGCGGGAUGAUACACUACGUGUGGGUGAUGCAUGGAAGGGAAAAGAAAAAUGACACGCAUUGUGCACGAACUUAAUUCUCGUAAUAAUGAUGUGAGUCGGGAUGAUGCACAUGUGAGUGAUGCAUGGAAGGGAAAAGAUAAUAUAGAAUUAAGGGGGAGAUUGUUGGAGUUUAAUUCUAUAUUCAUAUGUUUUAGUUAUUUAUUUAGAUUUAUUUAGAUAAUGUUUUGUACGUUUGUUAUUGUCAGCAAAGACUAGGUCUAGCCAAAAAAAAAAACAUGUUAAAUUAAACUACUACAAGAAUUAUAACUGAAGAAUGAUAAAGAUAGAAGAGAUGUGUAUGUACAAGCCCGAAAUACUCUCUAAGACUACAUUGUAUUAGCUUGUGUUGUGUUUUUUUGAACGUGUGUACAUGCAAGAUAUAAAUAGAACAAACAACUAAUGUGGUAGCUGUUAAAAAAAAACAUGUUGAAAUUAAACUACUACAAGAAUUAUAACUGAAGAAUGAUAAAGAUAGAAGAGAUGUGUAUGUACAAGCCCGAAAUACUCUCUAAGACUACAUUGUAUUAGCUUGUGUUGUGUUUUUUUGAACGUGUGUACAUGCAAGAUAUAAAUAGCUGUUAUCAAGGAAGCAGUUCCUGAUAUAACUCCACUACUCUAUCAACAUCAACUACUCCAUGCAGCUCCUAAAACUUCUCUACUGCUAAUAGACCUAUUCUUGUUGCUAUUUACACGCACUUAACAGGUACAAUUUAUUUAACAAAUAAAUAACAUAAGUUUAGAUUAAAUAAUAACCCAACAAUCUGCCCCUUAAUCUAAACUUGUCUUAUGCAAUCCUCCAGCCCGUAUGGCUAUUGAACUGAGCCUGUAUGGCACCUUGAUUCUUUGCCCACUACUUCCUUCAUGGCUGCUGUGUUGCUUACCAACUCAACUCCGGUUCAUCAUUCUCUGUCACAGCACCUUCUCAUGUCCUCUUGAACUGUUAUCAAGGAAGCACUUCCUGAUAUAACUCCACUACUCUAUCAACAUCAACUACUCCAUGCAGCUCCUAAAACUUCUCUACUGCUAAUAGACCUAUUCUUGUUGCUAUUUACAUGCACCUAACAGGUACAAUUUAUUUAACAAAUAAAUAACAUAAGUUUAGAUUAAAUAAAAACCCAACAUGAUUCACAUAAUAAUGAACUACAUCAGGAUGAUACACAUGUGAGUGAUGCAUGGAAGAUAAAAGAAAAAUGACACUUAUUGGGUGAAAAUUUACAUUAUACUAAAUGCGCGUAACCUAAAAAAUAAGUACUAAAAAAAAUUAACAAAAAGAUUUACUUUCAAUGGUAGAUGUGCCAGUCGACAAAUGCCUCAGCUGCACAAUUAAGUGUGCAAGCUCCUCUACCACAAAAACAUAUAAAACCUUUAAUCUAAAAAAUCUUAUAUACAUGUCAAACAUAAAAUUAAAUUAAAUAAUUCAAAAUAAAGGAGAAUUUUGAUAAUCUAUCAUUUAUUCUUAGUCCCGGCAAAAUAGAUAUAUAUAUAUAGUAUAUUUAUAAUCUCGAUAAACUAUGAAUUUCUAGUUUCUACAAAUCAACAAAAUUCUCUGUAUAUUGAAAUUAUUAUUUUAAAAACAUUUUAUUGUCAAACCAAUAAAAUUAGAACAUCACACAGAAAAUAAAAGAAAAUCUAUAAAUCUACCAAUUUUUGCGCAAUGGCCAACUUUUCAAUAGCUUUCUUGAGGGCAUCUCUAUGCACGACCCUUAGUGAAGAAAAACAAUCAUUUAGAAGAUGCAGAUAUUUGGGUAGAUUUUUACGGUCACUGUUGUUAGAAGCAGUGGCGGAACCAGGACUAAAAGUUAGGGGGCUGAAAUAUUUUUUCAUAUAUACUUGCAUAAAUAGAUUUCUCAAUAUAUAUCAUCAUACUAUCAUUCAGUCUCCCAUCCUAUCACGCUGAUAAGUCUUAAUUGUUUUUAUAGCAGAAAAAACUAUCUCAACAAUAGCAAUGACAACGGGUAAAACUAGAGUUAACUCAACCAGAAGAUAAACUAAGGGAUAAACAGUGUGUCUGUGUGUCUUAACCGUCAUGACCAGAAGAUUUCCUAUACUUUGAAGUCCAGAUUAAUCUUUAUUCGCUCUCACAUCAUAGAUAAACUUGUCUAACUUAUUUGAUAACGACUCCAGGUCUGGUAAAGAGAUAUCCUUUGGAUAAAAUUGUGCAAGGCAGAAAAUUAAUUCCUAGGAUCCAAAGAGCAAAUAUAAAUUAGUAGCUCUAUAUAUGUUACCUAGCAGAUAUAGAUAGAGAGCGCAUGUAGAGAAUAUUGUUGGAGAUAUUGUGUAAUUUACUUCUUAAAUAGUUAAGAGUUGAUUGUUUAUAUCAUUAUUAGAGAAAAGUUAAGGAGUUUGUUGGAGUUGCUCUCAGUUUGAAUAUAUUUGUUAAUUAGACUAAGUGACUUUUCUUUUCCUUUUUUUUUCCAAUAAGUCCCUCUCUAUGAUAUUUAUAAUUUAGCGGGGGCUAAAAAAAAAUAUAUUGACAUCACACUAAUUCAGCGGGGGUUGAAAAAAAAAUAUACAUUGUUUUUUCGAGGUUAGGGGGACUCUAGCAUCCUCUAGCCCCCCUCUGGUUCCGCCACCGGUUAGAAGAGCUUUUUUCUAGCAAGCUCUUUUCACACUUUCUGGGAUCGGUGUCGUGCAUGGUGAAAUCAAGCUGUGUGUAUGAGAGGAGAUAAUAGUGAGGAGUAUUAUGGUAAAGAGGUGAGUGAUUAUAUUAUUAGUUUUGCAUUAUAUUUGCUUAAAAGUUAUCAUCAUAAUCAUCUUAAUCUUUGGAGAUUUUAUAAGAUUUAGUAAUUUAUAUAUGAUAUCCAUAUUAAUUACUCCCACCGUCCCAUUUUAUGUGAGCUUAUUUGACUUUCAUGAAGAUUAAGAAAAAACAGUAAAAAAGAGUAAAUUUACUUGAAAAGUGGGUAAAGUGGUAGGACUUAUCAAAAUUUAAUAAUAAAUUUGAGAUAUUGGAGGAAGGUAGCGGGUGUAGUGGUGUAUAUUAUAUAUAUAUAUUUCCACUCUAUCUUGGGGAACACUCUUAAUGAGUAAUCUAAAUUAAAAUUGUUAGUACGUAAAUAAGUUAUUUUUGACAAUAAAUCAUUAUCAUUUCAAUAAAACUGUUUUGAAAUAAAACUUCUAUUUUACGUGGCUAGGACCCACCCGUGUGGGGUCCACGUGGGUGGGACCCACCUCCAGCUCAGCCUUAGAUCAGAAGCUCCACAUGUAUAAUUGAUUAAUUACUCAAUCAAAAUAUAUAAAUAUAUAAUUAAUAAGAAUAUAUAAAUAGAUAAUUACGUGUAGGUCCCACAUUAAUUAAUUCUUUAUCCAAAAGCAAAGGUAACACUAAAGUAAUGUUAAUUUUGUUUAAUUUAGUGUUUAUAUAUGACGGAGUAUCAUAAAUGUUUCUUCAAGAAAAAGCUUUAUAAGAGCAUCGCACUAGUUAUAAGUUAUUAUAUAAUUGAAGUCAAAAUAUUAUUCUGGUUUGUCGGUUAAUUUUAACUUAACACAUUUGUACAAUAUUUUAAUAUAUUAAUUAUGAUAUAUGUAUUAUUGUGAGUGAUUUUGAUGCGAAGUCUAACCGACUUGAGAUAAAAUGUCAUAAAAUUACACGUAACAAUAAAAUCCACAAUGUCAUAUAGUUCAAAGAAAUCCUUCAAUUUUGAAUACCAUUUAAAGAAUCAUAAUUGAAUACUACUAGAUUUUUAGUUACACAUUUUUUAAAAUCCAAAUUUAAGGAUUUCAAAAGAUCCGAACUCCAAUCCAAAUAUUAAAAUAUUGAAUAUUGUCACGUGUGUCUAUUUUACUAGUUAAUAUUUUUUAUAUAAGUUUGAAUCAUUAAUUUUUUUAAUAGGUUGCUGGUAGGACUUGAAUUUUUAAUCUUUCUAAAAAAUUCAUAAAUAUCAUAAGAUUAAAUAUUGUGUAAUGUGAAAUCUAACCAUUCUAAUUUAUUAAAUAUAUAUUUGAGAUCUAACGGCUAUAAAUAAUGAUACCAAAUUAUAAAUCAACGGACAAAAUUUUUGUAUGUUUGGGUUUAAGAAAAUAUAAUAUAAAUAUAUAGGCUAAUUUUCACGUAGAAACCAAUUAUUAAUUCAAAUAGGAAACUAAUCCCACAAUUAAUGUGACAAUUCUAGAAAUCACUCCUCGAUAUAAUCAGCCCUCUCAUCUUUUUUUUUUUUAUUUUUUUUAAAGAAUAUCAGCCCUCUCAUCUUAUGAGGAGGCCAAAAAUGUAUUUAUGUUUGUAUGAAAAUAAUUAAGAAUCAUGCAAGCAAAAGCCAGAAGACAAAGAUUUGUGAGUAUGUGACGGUUAAACACUACUACAAAAACUGGCUUAGACAUCGGCUAAAAACCGAUGUCUAUUGAAAAUAGGACCGAUGUCUUCGCAUGUGAUGUAAAAGGUAGGGGUCUUAGACAUCGGUUUUUAACCGAUGUCUAUAACCACCUUUCACAACGGUUCUAAUUAAGAACCUGAUGUGGUAUUGCAUUUUUAGCAUCAGUUACUUUAUUUUAACCGGUAUCUAUAGUUAUACUUUACAUCAGCUUUAUUAACAACUGAUGUAUAUUUACUUACCUUACAUCAGCUACUUUAUAUUGGUUGGUGUCUAUGUUUGUCUUUUAAUUCAUUUUCUUUAAAUAACCGAUGUAUAUAUGUAUAUUAAUUUUUAAGCCAUGAAUCACCUGCUUUGUAUUCUGCCAAAAUUCCAAAACUAAAACACUCAUAUUACCAAACCAAAAUACCAAAACUGAAAAAGCAAUAUAACAAAAAUGAAAAUCAAAACAAAACAUGCAUUCAACCAGUCAAGUAUAUUAUCUAAUUCAUCAAAUAAAAAAACCAACUACAUAAUCCAAACCAUCCAAUAUCAAAACUACAUUGAUUUAAAAAAUCUCCAACAAAAACAUGCAUAGAACAUAUAUUCAAAGCAUGUCGAUCAAAAAUUUCUAUACAAUUUGAUUAUAAAAGAUCUCUCACAAACUUCUUCCAUUGUGUCCCCCUCAAAUAUAUAUUCAAAUGUACACACAUUUGCCUCACUGGGGUGCGGAGGCUUGUAAACCGCAGGGGAACAUGUGCCCUGACCAACAUCCCCCUGUCUGUAUAUUCCUGUAAUCAUAAACAUAUUUAAUAUCAGCAUAAUGUGGUAAACAGGAAAUGAUAUAGGACCAAAUUGCAAACAUUAGUAAUCAAGCUUCACAAGGUGUGCUCAUGAACAAAGCCACCAACUAUAGACAAAUUGUUAAUCCAAACAGUGGUUCCCUAACUUAAUUAUAUAUAUUUGUUGAGUAUAUAAUAUUGCCUUGCAUGAGUGGAAACUUAAGUACAUUCAUAAAAUAAAUACAAAAGCCAAUAUAUUUUAAAUAAAAAAUGAGUGCAGAGUUGACUAUUACAAUUAUAGAAGCAAAUCUGGUACUUAAGAAACAAAAAUAUAGGAUUCUCUAAACUUCCUUUACUUCUUUAGUUGUUCCGAAUUUGCUAUGUAUUUAUAUUAAGUGAGAUUCUAUAAACAUAGUAUUUAGAUUAUAUGCCUGUUACUCACACUAUUCAUGGUAACAAGGCUGAGAUAACUCUUUAAGGUUAGAGAAAGAGGUCUCAGAGAGUUUGCUAGUUUGAGACAAAUCUUUUUUCCUUCUUAAUUUUUUAGAUGUGCAUCACUAGAUGAAUAUAAGUAUAGCAACAUUUUUGCAAGGAAAUAUGCAACUAGGCAUGUCCGUACCUGACUAAAUGACUUGGCUGAGAGGCUGGAUUCCUGAACUCGGCCCCGUAGUUGACUCCUAGAAGAGAAAGCCAUCAUUCAAAACAGCAGAGCAUACAUAAUCAUAUGGAAAUUAAUCUUAUUAUGUCACUUACAAGGGCAUCGGAUAGCAAAGAGGACAUUUUUUUACGGCUGGUACUCUGUCUAGUCAAAAGCAUAAGCAGGGCUCAUAUUAGCAAUAUCCAGGGUCCAAAAUGCUUCAAGAAAGAAACAUGCUGAUCAAUAUCUACAAUCAUUUUAAUGGAAACAAACAAGUAAAUAAGUAAAUUUCAAGAAAGAAACUUCUGUACCAUAUGACAAGUAAAUAUCACUAAUUUGUUCCAUUACAAGUAGUACAUAGUUGAUUUUUUUACCAGAGAAUCUUUUUUAAAAACUAUAUUAUUGCAUCAACUCCAGCCAAAAACAGAAACAUAAUAAUUGACAAAUCAGCGGAGACUAUAAUAUAAUGAUACAUAAAUGUAAGUCAUAACUAUUCAACUUAGCACUAACAGGAUAGAAACAUAUCAUAAUCAAAUAUAUCACUUGAAAUUCAACUUUAAAGAGAUUUAUAGUUCAGUGUUGUUACCCAAAUAGUAAGGUGAAUAAGGCCAAAAAAAUAUACUACAAUGACCAUGGAAUCUCGUAUCAGGUUUCCUACAUACAUAUACAAGUCAGGACUCAGGUCAAUACAUCUGAUAGAAGUCUAUAAAUGAUUCAAUAUUUUGAUGCAGAACUAUGAUUAAAUAAAAGUAAAGAACAAGAACCAUAAAACUAAUUGAACAUUUGUAUAAGAAAUUAAGAUACCAUGAAGAAGAAGAUGUAGACUGAGAAAAGAAGAACCCUAAAAUCAAAUUGAACCCAUCAAACCCUGAAACCCAAUCGAACUAAUCUGCAGGUUGCGUUUCUCCGAGCUGAGUUUUUAUCUACUAAUUAAUUCAAGUUGCUCUUCUUCAAGCUGUGUCUUCAAUAGAACAAAUUAGGGUUUACCCAAUCGAACCCUAACUACAAUUUGAAUGUCGGAGCAUGAAAUAGAUGGUGUGAGAGAGACUAGAUAGGGAGAGCAGAGAUGGAAAGAGAGAGAGACACGAGAGAGUCGAUCAAGAGAGAGUUGAUCGAGAGAGAGUCGAGAGGAAAAGAAAGAAAUGGGGAAAAUAACAUUUGGGUGAAGGUGGGAAAUAAAAUUUUGUUUAAGUGGGGAGUAUUUGUGUAAGGAGAGAAUAAUGAGCGGGUUUAUUAUUUUCAUUUUUUGAAACGGGAAAUAAGACAUCAAUUUUAACAAGAACUGAUGUCUAGAUUGUUAAAAGACAUCGUUUUUGAUUUUUUCGAUGUAAGAAAUACUUUCAACAUCGGGGGUAUUUCUAACUGAUGUCUAAAGUGUGAUGUCUAAUCCUGUUUUUCUAGUAGUGAAAGGGCCGGUGCCAACUAAUUUCAUGAGAAUUCUACAAUCAAAUACAGAACCCGCUGUUCACAGUUAUCAUAGCAACGUAAUUAAUUACAUAUGCAGUCGCUCCACAAAAUCAACAACUUCCUAUUUUCAUUCUUGAUGGUCUUGGAGGAACAGACCAGGGUAAAUAAAUUUCUGUUCACUAAUAGGAAUGUUUGGUGCUGAUAGAGAUACAAGAAUUUGGACGUCACUGAUCACCACUAAUUUUGGUCACAUCUGGGCAGGGAGCCUCAUUUUGUGACAGUAAUGGGUGGUGAUUAACACUAGGGGUACGGAUUUGUCUAAACUACCUGCAGCACCAUAGAGAAGGAAGUCUUUUAUAGACAGCUCCCAGUAUGUGUGCAAGUAUAAUCAACGAGCUGGUUUCAUAUAAAUCCUGUAAGUUUAGAAACUUACCCGUAAUCUGAAAAAUGCGUCCUUGAUAUUUUGGAGCAUUUUCUUCAUUAUUUUCUGCAAUUAUAAACAUUUCACAAAUAUAUUUAACUAUCAGUAAAAUAUUAUUACUUUGGUGGCUUUAUUUUUCACUGGUAUCAUACAAAACAAGUUUAAGAUUAACCUCAAACAGAACUUCAUUUCCUACACCGCAAAUUGGGAAAACGAGUGCAGGGGAUUGGUAAAAGCUCUUUUGAUUGAGAAUGUCUUGGUCCAAGAAUCAACAACACCAAGCUCCUUAAUUCAUGACCCACAUUCCCAAGAAAAAAUCAGCAUCUCGAACUAAAACACAAAGGCACCCAUCCAACACUGCCAAAACCUUUACUUCUCCCUGAUUCAUUUAUUGUGAUUAAUCUUAAACGUAUUAAUAAUUAUUAAUUAUGUGUGUCUUUAUUAGUAGUUGUCUAGUUGCCAGUAGAGUUUUAAUAGGAUGAAUAACUGUAGCAGUGGAGUCAUUGAGUUGGUAGUUUUUUCCUAUUUUCUAGCCACCUUUGUGGUGUGUAGUUCUGUUUUAAAAGCUUGUCAGUGUGAUCAAUAUAUCUGAGCCCAUUUGACGUGUAUGUACCAGUGUAUACAUUUCAGUUUAACACACACAAACACUUACAUAUUUACAUCAUCAUUCUCUUAUGUAAACAAAUAAUUAAACUUAGUCUCACCACCCUGCCCCACACCAAUACUACAGUCUCUCGUUUACAAGCCCUAAGAAACGGCCUCCUCUUCAAAGACAGCCCUCCCAGUCAAAGCCGCUAAACAACUCAAAACUCCUGCCACCAAAGACCACCGUGCCUCCGCCGCUAAGCCCGUGAUCACAGAACGCAACAGCAAAGUUAAUGGCCGAAGCCGUCGUAUCCGUCUGCCAGCCACGUGUACAGCUCGUGUGUUUCAGCUUACAAGGGAGUUAGGGCACAAAACUGAUGGUCAGACUAUCGAGUACUAAAUUUCGAUUAAGUCUUUAAUUGGUCAGAGUGUAGAGAAUAUGUUGGCAGCUACUUGCAGUACCUUUAGAUCGUUUGCUGAGGAGGAUUGCUGGCGGUGGAGUUCGGUGAAUUCAAUGCGUCCUUGAUAUUUUGGAGCAUUUUCUUCAUUAUUUUCUGCAAUUAUAAACAUUUCACAAAUAUAUUUAACUAUCAGUAAAAUAUUAUUACUUUGGUGGCUUUAUUUUUCACUGGUAUCAUACAAAACAAGUUUAAGAUUAACCUCAAACAGAACUUCAUUUCCUACACCGCAAAUUGGGAAAACGAGUGCAGGGGAUUGGUAAAAGCUCUUUUGAUUGAGAAUGUCUUGGUCCAAGAAUCAACAACACCAAGCUCCUUAAUUCAUGACCCACAUUCCCAAGAAAAAAUCAGCAUCUCGAACUAAAACACAAAGGCACCCAUCCAACACUGCCAAAACCUUUACUUCUCCCUGAUUCAUUUAUUGUGAUUAAUCUUAAACGUAUUAAUAAUUAUUAAUUAUGUGUGUCUUUAUUAGUAGUUGUCUAGUUGCCAGUAGAGUUUUAAUAGGAUGAAUAACUGUAGCAGUGGAGUCAUUGAGUUGGUAGUUUUUUCCUAUUUUCUAGCCACCUUUGUGGUGUGUAGUUCUGUUUUAAAAGCUUGUCAGUGUGAUCAAUAUAUCUGAGCCCAUUUGACGUGUAUGUACCAGUGUAUACAUUUCAGUUUAACACACACAAACACUUACAUAUUUACAUCAUCAUUCUCUUAUGUAAACAAAUAAUUAAACUUAGUCUCACCACCCUGCCCCACACCAAUACUACAGUCUCUCGUUUACAAGCCCUAAGAAACGGCCUCCUCUUCAAAGACAGCCCUCCCAGUCAAAGCCGCUAAACAACUCAAAACUCCUGCCACCAAAGACCACCGUGCCUCCGCCGCUAAGCCCGUGAUCACAGAACGCAACAGCAAAGUUAAUGGCCGAAGCCGUCGUAUCCGUCUGCCAGCCACGUGUACAGCUCGUGUGUUUCAGCUUACAAGGGAGUUAGGGCACAAAACUGAUGGUCAGACUAUCGAGUACUAAAUUUCGAUUAAGUCUUUAAUUGGUCAGAGUGUAGAGAAUAUGUUGGCAGCUACUUGCAGUACCUUUAGAUCGUUUGCUGAGGAGGAUUGCUGGCGGUGGAGUUCGGUGAAUUGGUAAGAUUUGAGAAACGUGUUGAAUGAUCCUGAUACACAUUUUAGUUGGCUUAGUGUUUUGAAUGGAAAGCCUAUCAGGAUAUUGGUGUUGAUUUCAGGUGGUAGCCAUCUGAAAAACAAGGGGAUAACUCAAAUAAGUUGUUGCCAUUAACAUUAACAUUAUGGAUAUGAUUGGAUUAUGUAGUACAUCAGCAACAAGAAUUUACAAAAGUGUUUAGGUAUGACAAUAUUUAUAAUUAAAUAAUAAUAUAACCAACGAUAUUUUAUAUGAAUCUUAUAAAAUUAUAAACUUACCCAUGGUUGAAGAAUGUAUAUUUCUGGAGCAUUUUCUUCAUUAUUUCUGCAGUUAUAAAAUAUUCACAAUUAUACAUAAAUCUUAUAUUAAUCCACAUAUACAUCUGUCAUUAAAAAUAAAAUUCAUCAAUCAUGAUUGCCCAUCAAUGUAAAAUAGUAGUCAUCAAUCAUAGAAAUCAAUUAAAUAUAUUACAAAUUCAAGUAUGAAUAUCACUUACCAUUCAAGUGAAAAAUUCAAAUAUAAGCUAACUUAAAAUGGGAAGUAAGAAAAUUAUAUAGUAAUAUACUAGUUUGACCAUCGAUAAAACGAAAAGUAAGACUACUUGACAUUUGAACAUCUAAAAUACACAUAUACGUUUCAAACUAGAUAUGAUGAUCCUAAUAGAAUUUGAUCUUAUAUUAAUCCGAAAGAAAUGUUAUUUUGCUGGAAAUUGAGUCGAGGCACAAUUAACCCUUGGAACCGCAACCAGUUCAAUUCUUGCAAAAUCAACAUUAGAUCCAAGCGAAUCAUAUAUGAUCUUAACUGAAACUUAUCAAUAUAUGUUAUAACCAAAAACGAUCCAAUCCAAAUGGAUCCGAUCGAAACCGAUCUGACCGGAAUUAUCAAGUAUACUUACAAGAUCUAAUAGAUUUAAUAAAAACUGAAAAUAAAAAUAUAAUGCGUGCCCGAUUGUACGACUUGAAUGAAAACCAAAUUAUAGAUGACACACAUAUUUAAUCACAUAAAGAUUUGGAUCAUACAAUAAAACAAAGAUCCCAAGUAUUUUUGCACGAUAUCCAUGUUUAUAAACAACGCAACGCUCUGAAUUUAAUUUGUAUGAAUUUUGUUGGUGACAACAUUCGUUGUUAUAGGUGUAUUUCUCUAUUCUGAGUAUAAAAUGUUCAGAUGAGGAGAUGAGAUGGGAGAAAGGAGAAAUUAUGGGAGGCGGCUAUGAAUGAAAUAAGGUUAAAGAUGGUACAAUAUUUAUAGGAAAAUUAUGUAUGAAAUAAUAUGAAAAAAGCCCAUUUUAAAAACAUAUAGGCCCAAUCCGCAUGAACAAAAUUUUAUAAUUACCAUCAAAAAAUUAUACUUUGGUGGCUUUAUUUUUCACAGAAUAAUACAAAACAAGUUUAAGAUUAACCUCGAACAAAACUUCAUUUCCUGCACUGCAAAUUGGGAAAACGAAUGCAGGACGGAGAUUGGUACAAGCUCUUUUGGAUGAGAAAGUCUUGGUCCAAGAAUCAACAACACCAAGCUCCUUCAUGACCCACAUUCCGAAAGAAAAAUCAGCAUCUGUGAAUAAAACACUAAGGCACCAGCAUGGCCCUCUGGAUCCUCCUCCGAGAAAGCAUCUCUGCAGACUCCUGCCGUUGGAAGUAUCAGGCUCUUCGAAGUUCCCGACUUAUUAGGGCCUUCCGUUGCAACAGAAUUAAAUUUUCUCAUAUAUGAUAAUGACUGGAUAAUAUAUCAUUCACCAAGUCUUAGAAUUUAAUUUGAUAUCAUAACUUAUGUCAUAUAUGAUAAUGAAGGGAUUAUGUAUCGCUUUAUUAUAUAUAUAACCACCACAUCUUAGUUAGUUGGACAAAAUUUUAUAUUACAAAAACUCAAAAUUUAGAAAAUUAUCAGAAUUUUUUUUUUGUGGUUCAUGAGGAAGAGGAACAAGAUCCAGUAACUCCUCCUUUAUGUGAUCUUUGUCAAUUGUUUUUGUCGUCUUUGUCAUUUGUUUAGUCACGAAUGUAUAUAUAUUUAUUAUUAUAAUUAAAAAAAUUAAGAGACGCAAACACGUAUAUAUUUUGUUAGUUAUAUACUAUAUAAAAUUUACAGAUAAUUUAGACCUUUUAUCGAGGACUUAUCAUUUAAAUUUAAAAAUAUUUCUAAAAAAACAAAUUUAUCAAUGAAAUGUUUGAUUUGACUAAAUAUACUCGAUCAAAUUAAUCAAUCAUAUACCCGAAAUUAAAUAUAUUACGAUGUAGUCUUAGUGUAUAUAUUUCAAUUUUUUUAGAAGUAAUUUUGUUUUAUUUUAAAAGAUGUAUUUCCAUCAAUCGAUUUGACCAUAUAUAUUCAAUCUUCCAAAAAUGAAUUUACAAUCAGAUAUAUAAUUAAGAAAGUAUCUAAACAUGUAACAUAAAUAAAUUGUUAAUUAAUCAACAAUUGGUGCCUAUUAAAUAAUAUAUAUAUUUUAGGAUUAUAUAUUAAUAUUGUUUUAUAUUAGUUUCAUGUCAUUUCAAAUCAAAAUAAUCUCUUGUAGGCUUAUACUUCUAUUUAAUAAAAUAAUAUAUAAUAUAUAUUAUAAAUGAGAUCAUAUUAUGUGUGUGUGUGUUGCAGAAAUAAUAAAUUUACUAUCAAUUUUGUUCACCAAUAUUAAUUGGGGUGGGGUGGGGUGACAAAUAUGAUAGAGACAUAAAACUGUUACAAGCGGCAGCACUAGCCCUAGAGGUUAAGAUUUAGGUCUAGUGCAUUCUCUUCUUGGUCCUCAUUGUCGGUGUCAAGCACUAUAAGAUGACCGCUGCUUGAAUCUCUUGAUCCAAGGAGCAGCGGGUGCAAUUGAAGCCUUAAUAAGUCGGGAACUUCGAAGAGUCUGGUAUUUCCAGUGGCAGGGGUCUGCAGAGGGGCUGGUGGAGAAGGAGAUAGAGAGAUACGAGAUGAUACCCAAGGACCGGUCCAAAAGAAAUGAGCGCCGCUGAUGUAGGUGGAUUAACCGGAGUGGGUGGUGGAAGACGAGAUAAAAAAGCGUAAGAUGAUCCCACCAUUGUCCCUGGCGGAUUAGUGGCGGACAACCUUAAAAAGGGUUGACCGAUCCGCUAUGGGUCAUGGAUAAAGGAUUUUGACGGUGGGUUUCAGCGCUCCUCCGCCUUUUUGCCGGCUGUCCUCCCUGCGGGCAUUUUGGUGUCCUCGUGCUAUGGAGGAUGUAUAUUUUGUGGAGCAUUUUCUUCAUUAUUUCUGCAAUUAUAAAAUAUUAGCAAUUAUACAUAAAUCUUAUACUAAUCCAAAUAGACAUCUAUCAUUAAAAAUAAAAUUCAUCAAUCAUGAUUGCCCAUCAAUUAUAAAAUAAUAGUUAUCAGUCAUAGAAAUCAAUUAAAUAUAUUGCAAAUUCAAGUAUGAAUAUUACUUAACAUUCAAGUGAAAUAUUCAAAUAUAAGCUAACUUAAAAUGAGAAGUAAAAAAAUUAUAUAAUAAUAUACUAAUUUGACCAUCGAUAAAAUGAAAAGUAAGAUUACUUGACAUUUGAACAUCUAAAAUACACAUAUAUAUUUCAAACUAGAUAUGUUGAUCCUAAUAGAAUUUGAUCUUAUAUUAAUCCGAAAAAUUUCUUAUUUGGCUGGAAUUUGAGUCGAGGCACAAUCGAUCCUUGGAACCGCAACCAGUUCUAUUCAUGCAAAAUCAACAUUAGAUCUGACCUUAACAGAAACUUAUCAAUAUAUGUUAUAACCAAAAACGAUUCAAUCCAAAUGGAUCCAAUCGAAACCGAUCUGAUCCGAAUUAUCAAGUAUACUUACAAGAUCUAAUAGAUUUAAUAAAAAUUGAAAAUAAAAAUAUAAAUCAUGCCCGAUUGUACGACUUGAUUGAAAACCAUAUUACAGACACACAAAUUUAAUCACAUACAAAUUUGGAUCAUACAAUAAAACAAAAUAAGUACCAAUCGAUUCACAAAAUUAAUUUAAUGUGUAAAUCCAUUUAGAUUGUAACUUACAGUGGUGAUUUAGAUAAAGUCGUCAUCCCAUCAUUUUUGAACGUAUAACAAAAAAGAUCAAUAAGUAAAUCUUGCAAUAAUCACGAACAACUCAUCUCUCCGCUUUCAGAUGGUAUUAUUCUUCUGGGUGAUGGUGUAUUAUAUUGAACAGAUCUAUUUUUAAUAUAAAAGGAGAAAAAGGAGAAUUUUAUCGAGACGUAGAUGGAGAAGAGAGAAAUUAUGAGAGGCAGCUAUCAAUGUAAGUUGAUAGGAUAAAUGGGACACAAUAUAUAUAAUAUGUAAAUUAAUAAUUUAAACAACAACGCUUACCGAUGUGAUUUAGAUAAAGUCGCGAUCUCAAGUAUUUUUUGCACGCUAUCCACGUUUAUAAACAACGCAACGCUCUGAAUUUAAUUUGUAUAAAUCUUGUUGGUGACAGCGUUCGUUGUUAUGGGUGUAUUUAUCUAUUCAGAGCAUAAAAUUUUCCGAUGAGGAGAUGAGAUGAGAGAAAGGAGAAAUUAUGAGAGGCGGCUAUGAAUGAAAUAGGGUAAAAGAUGGGUACAAUAUUUAUAGGAAAAUUUUGUAUGAAAUAAUAUGGAAAAGACCCAUUCUAAUAAAAACAUAUUGGCCCAAUCUCGACGAACUAAGUUUUAUCAUAAUCAUCAAAAUAUUUUAAUCAUCAACUUUUUAAGAAAGCAUGAGUUUUAAUUGUACCUAGUUGUUAUAACUUUAUAAUAUACUCCCUCCGUCCUCUUUACAUGUCCAUUUUGAUUUUGGAGUCAAAUUGACCAUUUUUGACUAAUUACCAUUACAAAUUAUCAAUUUAUUAUUUUUAAAAUCUGAAAGUUGCAUAUUAAUAAAGACUAAAUAUACUUUAUAAUGAUAUGAUUUUUUUUAUUAUUUUUCCCAAUUAUGUGAUACAUGUAAAUUCUAGUCAAAAUAGAAUCAAUUUGACUAGUCAAAAAUCAGAAUGAACAUGUAAAAGGAGACGGCGGGAGUAAGUAAUUAGUCAAUACAAUUGUAUUUGGUGAUCAAUUAUAAUAUAUUUUUUGUAAAUUUCUAAACACAUAUUUACGAAGUUUAUGAUUUAAUCAAAAACUCGAUGAAGAAUUAUUGAUAAUACAAUAUAAAAAAAGAAAAAUAAUAAUUUAUUAAUGAGGUUUUUCACAAAUACCCAAGUCUAGAAAGUCUUUUGCAAAAUACUAUUACUUUUUUUUACAAAAUUUGCAAAAAUACAUUUUUUUUAAAAAUGUAAAAAUGCCAUUUUUCUUAAACUUCUUUACAAAAAUACGAAGUUUACAGUUACAAUCAUAUCUGUAAUUAUAAACGCAACUUAAAAAAACUGUUGAAAUUACAGACACACACAUACAUAUAGUUUUUUGACCAAAAGCUAAAAGUUCAAUAAAAUACUCAAACCUAGUGGGGACAAACCCCCGAACUAUCAAUUAUGUGAAACAAAAAACGGGCUAGCAAAUAGUCAUUUUGUGUUCAGCUCGUUUAACACAUAGAAUAUUUAAAUUCUUUAAUGUAAGAAGUAUUACAAUCAUAUCUCGAGUUAUCAAAUCUACAUCAACUUUGACAAUAGUAGCACACAAUUGACAUUCAGAUAAGCAUCAUUUGCUGCCCAAUGGUUACGACAAUUUUUUGUCGUGAAAGGUAAACUCUUGCGAUAUUCACCACCAUACCAUAUUUGAUGCGAGUCUUACGGAUCACCCAAAAUAGAAUAUAAGCCAUUAUUAGAAAAAUUACCGAUACUCUUAGCAAAGAACACAAAAACAUCAAAACACAAAACAUCAACAUCCCAAAAAAAUGGGAACGAUCUUGAUAACAAGGUACUCAAUAAGAACUCGCCCAAAGGGAUCAGAUUUUGAUUCUAUUAAAAAACUAGUAAAUACGAGAGAGAAUGAAAGAGCGAAGAGGCUUAAUAAAUGAAAGGGGAUGAAGGUUGAAAAGCGGAGAAAUGACGGUUCAAACCCUAACUUUGGAAGUCGAAUCUCAAGACUGCAAACCCUAGAAUAUCUAGUUGAAAUUAUAUUUAAUUGCAUAAUAAGUUGGAACGGCUUUCAAAGGUCUCAAAGAUGAGUUCUCCUGCUGAGCAGGUACUAAUAUAACAAAAAAUCUAAUAAAAUCAUACUAGAAAACAUAUGUUGCAUUUAAUUGCAUUAGGUUGAAAGCUAUUUUCACAAGUAUUUUCAAACUAUUGUAAAAUUACAAAUUAACUUACAAAACAAAUAGUAAUUUUGAUAAAUACCCUUUACAAAUUUAAUAGUUCUAUAUCUCAUUGAUCAUGCACAUCUUAAUGUGCUUAUCUCCUAGAUAAAGGUAUUAGUGCUCGUAUUAAAAAAAAAUAUAUACAGUCAUCUAAUAUGUAAUUCUAUCUUAUAUAUAUUUAUCAGUUUAUUAAGUCUCAAAGCUUUGGACAAUCCCAAAAUUCAAAGAGCUCUCAUUCAUGGCCGGGACCUUUAAUAUCUGCAAAUAAAUUAAAAGUUUGUGAAUUUUUUACGACGUAUUAUAUUAUACUUUAAACAUACACAAUUGUCCACAUAACUAUCUAACUUCCAAAUUGUGGAUUUCAUCCAUUUAAGUAUAUAUAUCAACUGAUCCACAACAUAUCAUAAUACACCGACUUAUGAGAGUGUCCAAAACUCUUGUAAAGAUUUUUUUUUUAAUAUAUAGAACAACUAUACACACCAAUCAUAUGAAUCAUAUAUAUUACUAAUUUGUUGAAAUACUAUAAAAUGAACAUUGAUAUAUAAAUUAAGGUCACAUAUAUGGUUGGUUGACUUGCAUAGAUUAUGCUUAUAUCCUUGAAAGUAUGAAAAGCAGCUCCCAUGAAUUCAUCAGUUAAUUUACUCCUUACCCCAUGUCGCCCUCCCAGGCUCCCUCCCACUUCAGCAAAAAAAAAAAAAUCAAAUGGAGUUUAGUACUGACCAAAUUCAACUUCAAUUGGCCCUGUUAAUUAUACAUGAUUUAUUUAGCAGCUCACAAUGUCAGACGUAAGUUUUGAAAGUGUUUGUAACAUAGUUACAAAGUUUGGUUUACAUAGAGGCCUCACCUUUGUGCCAUGCCCCCUGGCUCGGUCCUAAAACUCACAAUCGAAUAUGGAGAUUUGCUCUUGUCCUUAUUGCCCCUUAGGGGGCUUAGAAUAUAUUAAGAAAUAAGAUGAGUGUUAAAUUACUAUAACUCAUAUGCGGCUUUUCCGCACCAAAAGGUUCCAAGGAGUCGGAGUGUUGGACAUCUAAUGGCCACUUUUUCCUUGUGCUCGGGUAUGGUUAUAAUGAUAUGGAGAUGCAUAUUCAAUUGAUAUUCUUCAAUGUUGUGAAGUAUAUGUUGUACCUAGUUCAUGUGUAUAAUUAAACAAGUAAAGAUUGCUGGGAAAAGAUGGAGGAUAAACCAAGUAUAUAAUAUUAUUGGAUAUCCGCAAGCAAUAUUAAGUAAAUUAUAGAGUUAAUUGCAUUUUGCACCCCUACAUUUGGGCCAAAAAACACUUUAGUAUACAAAAUUUGAAAAUUGCAUUUCGCAACCCAAUGGUAUUUUGGGCGCUGCAUUCUUCACCCCUUCCGUCAAAACUUAACACAUCUGUUAAAAAUUUGAGGGUAAUUGAGGCAUUAAAAAAUUAUUGAAACACAAAUGCACUAAUUGUGGGUUAAUUAGAUUCUAAGAACUCUCAAAUCUCUACCAAACAUCAUUGACCAGAAGCCUCUGCUUCCUCUGCUAUUCGAAAUCCCUACCAAACAUCCACCUCUCCGGUCUCCCACUCACUCCCCAUCUUUCAGCACACCUCUCAGCUCCGGUGAAUAUCAUCUCAAAUUUUCCCCCCCCCCCCCCAUUCACCAACUCAACAACCUUCAAACUACCCAAAACAGAGCCAACUGAGUUCAGCCAGGGCUCCGAUCAACACCCGUUGCUUCAGUUACUGACCCUGCGCAAAGCGACGGUUUUUGGAGAAUGCUGGAAAGUAUAUAAAGUUUCUAGAGGCGCAAGUGAGCAUGCUGCAGUGUAUGCCUGUUGAUGACUGUCUGGUAAGUGAGAAUGUGAGUGGUGGAAUGGAUAGGAACAGAGUGUUGCAGAUGAUGGUGAACUCGGAGGUGAGUCGGGGGAAGAUGAGUUCAGAAGGCAUGUGUGUUUACUCGGGGGAGCAGCUGGUUCAGAUUAUUGUUGCAGCAGUAACAGAGGUUCAGAGGUGUAGAGUAAAUUAGGGUAAAUACACAUAUAUUUAGGGCAUAUAUCUGUUAAAUGGGGAAGAAGAUGGUUAAAAUACGAUAUUCCCAUUUUACCCCCUGCUCAAGUAACGUAAAACAUGAAUAUUUAACGGAGGUUGACGGAAACAGUGCAGAAUGCAGCGCCCAAAAUACCAAUGGGUUGCGAAAUGCAAUUUCCGAAAGUUUGUUGACUAAAGUGGUUUUGGGCCCAAGUGUAGGGGUGCAAAAUGCAAUUAACUCUAAAUUAUAACAUGCAGAUAAUGAGAAAUAAAAUAGAAAUUUAAGGGCAGAGGUAAUUUACCUGAGGAUGACUAGUGGACAUUUGCAUCUCGCACCUCUAUCACAACAUCCAUCAAUUUCAGCUGUUCUUUUAGUUCUUUUUCAGUUUUUGCAAUAUGACCAGGAUACCAGUACUCAAUUAGCAGCAGGGUAAGUGUACAGAAACCAGGAUUAGUAAAUCCAAGAUGCAGUGCCAAACAAUAAUAUACUAUCUAGAGCUCUCUUAAACAUAUGGACUCCAUCUUACCUGAACAGGCCGCAAUGCUUUUGUCCAAUGAUAGAGUUCAUUAUCGAGAUCGACCCAGUCAAAUUCGUCUUCAUGAUUGUGAAAUGUAUCACUAAAAUGCUAAUUACUGUUUCCAUACAAACCUGAAGUAUUCCCGCGAACAAUCUGAAAUGGUGCAAACUUAAGUUAUAUCCUUCUUUCCACCAAUUUGAUGAAAAAAUUCCUAUGAUAAUAUAUAUAUAUAUAUAUAUAUAUAUAUAUAUAUUUGUAUUUAUAUACACUGACAUAAGCACGAAAUAUGGAAUCCACACAUUAAUUUUUGUUAGACAACUAGAAAUGGUAAUGAAUGAUGAAUUACAAAUUCACGGACAUCACAGUCAUAAGUUAACUGCAAAAGAAAAAGCUAUCUAUGGCUUAUCGAAAGUGGCUGCUGUUGGAAUAAUCUUAAAUUUAGUUGUUAUUAAUUAUUUAGUUAUUUAUCUAUUUUGAUGUAAUUUGAUUAUUUGUGUCCACGUUAGUUUUAGAUUAAGGCAGUCAGAUGUUUGUUUGAGUGUUUUUAGGAAGUAUUUUGAAUAAGGUGGAGUGCUUGAGAAUUUGUAGGAAGUAGCCGUUGGUUUGUAGCCAAUCUGGUGGGUUUUCCUUAAAUUGCUUGUAUUUUCCAUUCUGCAAAAAAAACAAGAGAGACAAUACAAUGUAGUACUUGAGAUCAGUUUGUGCUUAUAAAUAUCUCUCUUCCAUCUUGUUUAUCCUAUAUCUAUCAUUCUAGUGUUUAUUAUUUUCAACAACUGCUUCCUUACAAAAUGACAUAGUGACAUUUGUGCUUGGACUUGAAUAAUACCAGGAUAUAGAAAGAAAACAAAUUCAUGCUAUUGCAUCUCCUUGUGACUUUUGACAUCGUUCAACCAUAUAUUUGAGUAUUGAGAGAUUUAGAGCCAGUAUUAUAAUAAUCAUGUGCCCGAUACAGCAAUGCCAAACUUGUGGUUGUAUAUAGUCUUACAGUUCUGGCAUUUUGACUUGCAUUGAACGCUCUUAUUGCAUUAUUGAGGUAGUUGCCCUGGCUUUACUAGGAACAACCAAAUUCAAAAUGAAUUGUUCCACUUUAUAAAGGAAGAUUUCAAGUAAUACGCGGACAUUAUACAUUAUUUUCUCUCACAACAUACUACUUAGUACGCAGCAGCCUGUUUUAAAAAUUAAAGCAAUCUACUUGCAUGAUAACUAAAUGCUUAAAAGAACUUGACAAUUGACAUAGCUCAUAUCGACAAUUAGCUCCACUGAGGCAUCAUCGAACCAUCUUCCACUCUGACGAACCAUAAAAAUAAACUUAAAAAACUCCAGAUAGUUAAAACCCAAACCUCUCGAAAUCUAUUGUUUCAAACUAAUUUCUAAAGAUUUCAAAAGACGAUUUCUUUAAAAGGACUCCAAAAAUUUAACCCAGUAGAUUUUACAAGCUUCAUUUCAUCAUCUAAUUAGUCAGCAAAAAAAACAGCAGAACUUUACAAUUAAAUAGUAACCACAUAAAAGGACAACAACAAAAUGGAUAAAACAAGGACAUUCUGAAAAACCCAUCAAUAAAUUAAGCUAAUUUUCACAUUGCAUAAAGUGAACAACCAAAUUGCAGGACUUUAAUCAAAAUGUGAUGGAGAGAGAUAGAGGGAGAGAGACGGAUAAAGGGAGAGAGGGACAAAGAUAGAGGGAGAGAGGGAGGGAGAGAAAGAGGGGGAGAGAGAGAGAGAGAGAGGGAGAGGGAGGGGGAAGAGAGAUUACCUGAAUAGUGGAGGUGGGGUGGGUCGGAGAAGCAGCACAAACAGUAGACAAAGGUCUGGUUCUUGGGUGAGGCCCACUAAUAAAUGAUGGUGCUGCAGAGCUCUUCUUGACACAACAAAGCCCAGAUGAUAUCUGAACAAGAAGAUGAGCUCCCAUUGCUAUGAUUUUACUAUCUAACAAUUCUCAACACCGCUUAAUCCAUGUUUGCCUUUAUAUAUGUGUUCUCACUUUGUCAAACACCAAAUAAGUGACCAAGUUCAGUUUUAUAAGACGACUCACAGAGGAAAGAAGAUAAAAAUGAGAAGCGGUUAAUUAAAAAAAAUUAUUUUUCAAAAAUAUAUAAGUGCCCGGUUGAGACAACUUCUAGCUUUUUUCGACAAAAAGCCGGCUUCUAUUUUUUGUAACCUGUUUGUGUAAAAAUUAAAAAGCACUUGUUAAAAGCUGAGAAUGCUAAUUUAUUUCUGGACUUCUACUUAUUUCCCAAACAGUGUAAUCACUUAUAAGUCUUGAUUUAAUUCUCAAUUCUAGUUCAUUUAUUUACUUUAAGCAAAAACACUUUUUUUAGAUUCAUCCAAACAGCCCUAUAUUAUAAAAAAAAUAUUUUUAAAAAUACCAAUUAAAAAAAAUAUUUUUAAAACUACGAUUUACAACUAUUGCAACUAUAUUUGCAAACGAUCAACCAAAAUCAACCACAAAUUUCAAUCAUAUUUACAAUCAAUCAAUCACAAAUGCAAUUUUACAUACUGUGUUACACAACAAGUUCGCUUCCACGCCUAAGAAAAAAAAGAAAAGAAAUCUACAUAAAAUAUACACACAUCUAAAAUGUCUAACUUGCUCGUAUCAAGCAAUUACUAAAAUCCCUUUUUCAAAACCCUAAAUUACUUUUGACAAAAUCUCCAGUUAUCAAAACCCCACCUUAUAAAUUCCUCAUUUAUUAAACCCUAUGAAUUCUUUUAUCUCCCAUCGAUCCCUAACAAUCUCACCUCUAUUUUCCAACUUCUUCGAGCUCUAUAUAUUGGCUAUGUUGCACUGUUAACUCUUCUAUACUCCCGUUCCCAAAGAAUGUCAAGCACAGAAGAUGUUUAGAUACGUGUCAUUGCCUGAUGAUUUGCGCACUGUAUCUUAUUGGAGUGAGACCCACGAGUUGCAUAGCACAAGACAUCUGUAGUUACGUGUCGUUACAUGAUGAUUUGUGCAUUGUGUCUAAUUGGAGUGGGAUCCACAAGGUGCAUAUGAGGAUUUAUGUAGCAUAAAGUUUAGAAGCAAGUAUUGUCCACGACAUAGCGUUGUAUAUGUGGUGAGAGAUGAUUAUAUCAACAUGAGUCUGCUUCCCAUUUUCUCCAAUCACCUCAUUUAGUUUAUGUUUUACAUCAGUUUUUUUCAAAAAUUAAAUCAGAGUUACAAUUUCAGUUGCAAAGCGAUUUUUAAAAAUAAAACUUAGUAAGUAGUAAUUUUGGAAAUAAGUUUCAAAAUGAUCCUACUUCUAAAAAUACUUUUUAAAUGGUAGUAUUUUGAAAAAAUUUCUAAAAAAUCCACUUGAAAUAAUUUUAAUUAUCUUAAAUGACAUAGUAUCGAAAGAGUUCUUCAAAAUAAUUAAAUGAUCUAAUAUACUUAGAGGGGUGUAUUGGAUUGGGAUUUUAAAGCAUUUUUUUUUUUGCAUUCAUGAAAUCCGAGGGUAUUCGAUUGAGAUUGUUUGAAAUCCAUUAAAAUCUUGAUGUAUUCAAUUGGGAUUUUAAAUUAUGCUACAAAAUCUGGUGAUAUUCGAUUGAGAUUUUAAAUUAUGCUUUAAAAUCUGAUGGUAUUCAAUUGGGAUUGUUUAAAAUUCAUUAAAAUCUGAUGGUAUUCAAAUGCUGAUGGAUUUUUUUGGAUUUCGUAAAAUGAUGGAUUUUGUGGCAUUGUUCAGUGUAUUUUAAGUUUUAUGAAAUCUCAUCAAAAUCAAUGGGAUUUUGAAGCAUUGUGCUUAAAUCCUAUCAACUCUGCGACAUUUGAUCAAGAAUCCGCACAAAAUCAAAAUCACAUACAAUCCAUUAAAAUUCAUAGAUUAACAACAAUCCAUUAAAAUCUCAAUCGAAUACAUCCCCGUUAAAAUCAAUUGAUUACUACGUAUAUUUUUGAGACUAAUAUAAUAGGUUGAAUAAUUUAAGUUUUAUUAUAUUAUUUUAAUAUGUCUUAUUAAUUCUCUGAUCUAAUCGUUUCAAUUUAUCAUCAGUUAUGUGAUUAAAUAAUUCCCAUCAAUUGAAUCUUAUUUAUGCAAUUUGGAAUCCCCACCUCUAUUUAACAUAUUUCCUUUUGAUUGAUUAAUCCUGUAAAUUAAAUACCAUUCAAUAUCAUUAAAUUUGUAAAUCUAAAUCCAAAAUAUUUAUAACUUAAUGAUUUUAGUGUUAAAACUUAAUAAUAUAACAUAUUACACAACAUGUGUCUAUAUAAUAUAUAAUAUAAAUGAAGUUAAUUAAAGUAUGAUAUAUAACAUAAACAAAUUCAUCCUUUGUCCAUCAUCCUCAAAAUCAGUGGUAAGUCCAUUUCUUUUAUGGUAUUGUCAUUGUUUCCACUAAUUGUAUCAUUCAAGUAUUGAACUAGUUGCUCUUUCUUUUUCGCAGUUUCACUCGGGCAAGGAGUUUGUUAACAAUUUUGCAGUAUCAGACGAAACCUUCCAGCUUAUUGAAGGUAAACUUUAUACUAUUAGUACAAUUAAUUGGAUGAUUAGAAAUUCGGGCUCAUUGAAGCAAUAUUAUAUUCAUCAUUACUGUCAGUGGCGGAUCUAGGAUUUUGACAAGGGGGGCUUCACUAGUAUUAAAAAAAAAUUACAAAAGUCUUAAAGAUCUCAAAUACAUAAUAUUCCCUAAUUAUUUUUAUACAUUGUCACGAGGAGGUAAUUGCAUUCUUCGAGAUGCCAUUUUUUGAAAACGAUCUAAAAUUAAUUCACUAUUGAUCUUUGCAAAUACAUCCUUCUCGAUGUAUACCACCAAGCUAUCAUUCAUCCAUUCAUCUCCCAUUCGAUUUCGGAAAUCAGUCUUGAUGAUAUUCAUUGCAGAAAAUACUCUUUCAACAGAAGCAGUUGCCACAGGUAGAAGUAAUGUUAAUUCAGUCAAACGAUACACCAAUGGAUAUGUGCAAGAUUUCUUAGUAGCUGCCAAUUUUUUUUGCAAGAGUUCCCAAAUCUCCGAUACUAGAAAAUUCUUGAUCUCUCUUGACAUCAUAAAUAUACAUGUCUAAUUGAUUGCGAAUCAUUAGAAGUUCUGUCCAUGAAAAAUCCUCUGGAUUAAGAUUAGCAAGAUGCACUAGUUUAUCAACAUCGAAGGCAGAAUAUGAAUCUCUAGGAUCAAGACAAGCUACUGAAAGAAGCAAGUCUGCACUUGUUUCUGGAAACCAGUUAUCCAACUCUUGUGAAAUUAAAUCAACCACCUAAAUUGCAAAUGAUAAAUAGUUAUAUUAAUAAAGAGGUAAUUAUAUAUUGAGAAAAACACAAUUGAAAUGGACUAGGAGAGGGACUAUUACCACCACUUGAAUCCAAUGAAUUUCUUGGCCUUUUAGUAAAAUAUUUAGCAAUUGACAUUGAGCCUACAUAAAUUUUAACACUUAAAUAUUCAGUUCACAAUUAAUCCCUAAUUUUAACAUAUACAAAAAAUAAAAAAUAUAUAUGCUAAGUGUAUAUAUACUAUACAUAUAUNNNNNNNNNNNNNNNNNNNNNNNNNNNNNNNNNNNNNNNNNNNNNNNNNNNNNNNNNNNNNNNNNNNNNNNNNNNNNNNNNNNNNNNNNNNNNNNNNNNNNNNNNNNNNNNNNNNNNNNNNNNNNNNNNNNNNNNNNNNNNNNNNNNNNNNNNNNNNNNNNNNNNNNNNNNNNNNNNNNNNNNNNNNNNNNNNNNNNNNNNNNNNNNNNNNNNNNUCAUCUAAAAUUAUACAAUAUCUCAACAUGAUUCUAUAACAGAAUAAUAAUCAUCCAGAAUUAUUCUGUUGUAGAAUCAGUUUCGAAAAUAUACUUUUUUAAUCAAAUUUUAAGUGUUAAAUUACUUAAAAUAGAUUUAUUUUAUAGUAUUCUAUAUUAGAAUCACGUUUUAUAUGUAUUCUAUAACAGAAUUUAUAAUAAAAUUGAUGAUUUAUAGUGGCGCACUAUGUAACUCCAUAUAAGGAGUCCCUCUCUGGAAUGUUGGCCUAUAUAUAUAUAUAUAUAUAAAAGCUUUAGAAAUCAGACCUGAGCUUGAAGAAGAAGGAAAGAAAUUGUAGAAGAAGAGCAGGGGAGGAAAGCUUGCGUUGAGAUUGAAUGGAGUGGUGAAUCACCAGGAGCACAGCACAGGAGCAAGUAGCAACAAAGAGGAGCGCACGAUUUCUUUCAAUUCAACCAGCAGCAGGUGGGUUUUUUGUUUAGUGAAUAGGCUGGCUAAUAAUAUAAAAGUAUGGGCUGAAAUUGUUGGGUGGGCUCACUUCCAAAACCUAAAAAAUUUAUACUACAAUAUGAAUUAACUAUGGGCUCAGGGGUGGGCUUAAGCCCCAUUUUUUUCUAACACUUGUAAAUGAUUUUGUAGUCUGUAAUGCCAGAUUUGAAUCUUCCUUACAAGGAGAAGGAAGAAAGCAGUGAUAUUGCUUCCAAGCUAAUUGCUUUCGGCCGGAGAGUGUGCUAUAUUUUCGUACUAGUACCUGAAAACAAUCAAAAGUGCCCCAAGUGUCGUCAAAGCAUCACUCUGUUUAAUGAUUUUGAUAGAACCCGUACGUGGGCAAAACUAGAAAAGGCCUAUAAAUCAAAAUACUUAUUUUGAAUAGGCCUUUCCUAGUUUUGCCCACGGGUUCUAGAAAAAUCAUUAAACAGAGUGGUGCCUUGACGACACUUGGGGCACUUUUGAUUGUUUUCAAGUACUAGUGCGAAAAUGUAGCACGCUCUGCAGCCAAAAGCAAUUAGCUUGGAAGCAAUAUCACUGCUUUCUUCCUUCUCCUUGUAGGGAAGAUUCAAAUCUGGCAUUACAACCUACAAAAUCAUUUACAAGUGUUAGAAAAAAAAUAUUAAAUACAAGAAUUACAAUAAUUAUAAAUAUUAUAUUGCACACAGUUGCUUCAAUCAGCUCGAAUUUCUACUCAUCCAAGUAAUAGUACUAACAAUAUAAAGUUUACCUUCAAUGAGGAUGGUUUUGUCUGAUAGGAUAGAGUAAAAAUGCAAAAAAAAAAAAGAAGAGAGCAACUAGUCUAAUACUUCAUCAAUGAUACAAUUAGUAGAAGCAAUCAUAAUACCAUAAAAAUGGCACUAAAAGCCAUUAAAGGCAUAAAAUGUCAUCAAUAAUGACCCCUAUAAAUGGUAUUAAAUAUUCACAAAGAAUAUUUAUCCAAUCACAAUUUAAAACGUAACUAUUAUAAUUAAAACUAAUAAAGACAAAUAAUGAACAACCAAUUAAAGAGAUCCCGUAAUUAAAGUCAGUCCAAAUUAAAAUUAAAUUAUUGUCUAAAAAUCAAACAAUCAUAAUAAAUUAUGAAUUCAUAAAAUUUAAAAUUUAAAACCUUUUAAAAUCAUGAAUAAUGACCAUCAUAAAUGUUAUUAAAAUAUCAUGAAGAAUAUUUAUCAAGAUAUAUUCCUUUCCAAAAAUUAAUUGAAAAAAUUUUAAUCCUUGCAAUUUAAAAAAAAUUUGCACAAAAAUAUACAUACAAAUAUAAUAUAUAAAAGCAACGUCGUAAUUAAAAAUAAAUUGAUAUCGAAACAAAAUACUCAACAAUAGAACAUGAACCUAAAAACAUGUUAAAAAAUUAAAAAAUUAAUCUAGAAGAUCAAAUCACACACUUAACAAACCCACACAAUCAAGAACACUUAUCAAAAAUCUAUAACAGACCUAAUUUCAAAUCCAUAUUCCGGUCAACCAUAACAAAAUCCGGCUAAGUUAAAACAUGUCAGAAAAACCCGGAUAAUCAUUAUAAACUUAAUCGAUAAAACUAAAACUAACAUAACACACAACAAUCAAUCCAGAUCUGGCACGCUAACAUAUAUAUACAAAUUACAACGAAAAAAACAGUUGAUCAUCAAAAUCAGUAGUAUAAGCACAUUUAAACAAGAUUUAUCAUCUAAAAAACAACUUGAAAAAGAAUAACAAAUCACAUGUACGUACAAAGAUCUCAUAUUAAUCAACACAAUCCAAAAAUAAUUUAGUCUACUAAACGAUUAAAACAUGUACAAUGAUCCACCAUGUAUAUCAAACAGUUACAAAUCAAUCAAACAUUACAAUAAACACGUAUAAUCAAGAGCAUACAUGCGUUAUACGGAGACAAAAAAGGAUAAAACACAAUAACAUGUGAUAAGUCAACAAAUAUAAAUGACAAUACAUGUAUAAUUGAAGAGAGAGAUAAGAAGUACUGACCUAAUCGGAGAGAUAGAGCAAGAUCACAGAGAAAUUUCUGGCUUGCAAGGUGCAAAUGCUUUCGAUCUAUUCACAAUCAAAGUUUUAAAUACAUCACAACUUAACAUUCGCCGGAGAAAAGAACGAUGGCCGGAGUCGAAAUGCUUCGAGAGAUUUAAAAUAUAUUAACAUCAAAAUUUGGAAUAUCCAAGAAACAAAACAAAACAAGUAUCCAUCAAUUCAUAGAAUUACCUAAUGUGUAAAUUAAUAAUUUAAAGAAUAACUUACCGAUUUGAAUUAGAUAAAGUCGCGAUCCCAAGUAUUUUUGCACGAUAUCCAUAUUUAUAAACAAUGCAACACUCUGAAUUUAAUUUGUAUAAUUUUGUUGGUGACAACGUUCGUUGUUAUAGGUGUAUUUAUCUAUUCAGAGUAUAAAAUUUUCAGAUGAGAAGAUGAGAUGGGAGAAAGGAGGAAUUAUGAGAGGCAGCCACGGAUGAAAUAGGGUAAAAGAUGGUACAAUAUUUAUAGGAAAAUUAUGUAUGAAAUAAUAUGAAAAAAGCCCAUUUUAAAAGCAUAUAGGCCCAAUCUUUUUUUUUGACAGACAUAUAGGCCCAAUCUGGAUGAACAAAAUUUUAUAAUUACCAUCAAAAAAUUAUAAUAACUAACUUUUUGAAUAAUUAUGGGCUUUAAUUGUACCUACUUGUAAUAAAUUUAUAAUAUAAGUAACUAGUCAAUACAAUUGUAUUUGGUGAUGACAUUAUAAUAUAUUUUUUUUGUAAAUUUCUAAAAACAUAUUUAUCAAAUUUAUAAUUUAAUCAAAAACUCAAUGAAAAAUUAUAGAUAAUACAAUAUAUAAAUAGAAAAAUAAUAAUUUAUUAAUGAAGUUUUUCACAAAUACCCGAUUUUCGAAAGUCUUUUACAAAAAUACUGUUAUUUUUUUUAAAAAUUUGCAAAUAUAUAUUUUUUAAAUAUAUAAAAAUACCAUAUUUCUGAAACUUCUUUACAAAAAUACGAAGUUUGCACUUAUAAUCGUAUCUGUAAUCACAAAUGCAACUUAAAAAACUAUUGAUUUUUUAUAUAUAUACACACACACACAAAUAUAUAUACAUAUAUAUAUAUAUAUAUAUAUAUAUAUAUAUAUAUAUAUAUAUAUAUUGACGAAAAGCUAAAAGUUCGAUAAAAUACUGAAACCUAGUGGGGACAAACCCUGAACUAUCAAUUACAACCUAAUUGUGAAACAAAUAACGGACUAGCAAACAAUCACUUUGUUUCCAGACCCUUAACACAUAGAAUAUUUAAAUUCUUUAAUCUAAGAAGUAUCACAAUUGUAUCUCUGGUAAUCCAACCUACAUCACCUUUGAACAUAGUAGCAUCGCAAUUGGCAUUGAGAUAAGCAUCAUCUUCAACAUGAACAAUUUUCCACCGUGAAAGGUAAACUCUUGCGAUAUUCGCCACCGUACCAUAUUUGAUGCGAGUCUUACGGAUCGCCCAAAAUACAAUAUAAGCCAUUAUUAGAAAAAUCACCAACACCCUUAACAAAUCACACAAAACAUCAACAUUCCAUUAGAAGCGUAACGUCUGAUGAUGUAGGAUUGUUAACAAACUCCUCGCCCAAGUAAAUCUGCAAAAGAAACAAUGGUGUUUACAAAUCAUAUUGAUCCAAUGCUUAAUGUCCUCAACACAGAACUAAAAAUGAAAAACUAUGUCUUUUGGCAUGAUUUGGUUUGCGAGACUAGCUACUAGCAUUAAGUAUACUUAAAAUUUAAAACUGUGCUAAAUCUGUUGAGGCAUGCAAGUAUACUAGCGUUAUUUUCAGUUGUAUUCCAAACUAUAAAAGAAUAUGUUUUACUUCUGUUCCAGUUUAGUUCAGCUAUUCCUCAUGGAAAUAAACUAUUUUUGAUUCGUAAGGAUUUUGUCCUUUUUAUUCAUUGCUAUUCGUGCUAAACUGUUUUGGACUCUUUUCAUGACUUCCAAAAAUUAUUUUAAAAUCUGUUUUGAGAUAUUCAAAUAUUUGUGCUCCGAUUUUGAAAGAUUAUACAAAUUAUGAUUUGUUCGGCUUAUUUAAAAUAUCUGUAUCGUGUGAUUUUUAAAUUGUGAAAACUAUUUUAUUUAUGUGAACCCUUAGAGAUAUAGGGUAUACCGAGUUACCCAGCUGUAGGGGUACUACAGCCAUGUCUUUGCGGCACCAUUGACAUGACACUUCCGUGACAGUGUGAUUGGUCACGGCGUAUCCUUCUGUUAGCUCUUGGGAGGAGCUUUGGCCAUUUUGAUUAUAUGUUCAGGAUACGUGGGUGCACCCAGUUCAGUUUUGAUAUGAUUUGUGAUUUGACGGUGACGUUGUAUAUGCCGUACACGUUAUCCGAUUUGUUGCACACAUUAGGUACCCUAUGAUGUGUGUAUUUGUAUAUGUUUUGAUCUCGGUAUGAAAUAUCCUAACCCUCGUUGCAUCAGCCUAUUUAUUUUAAAAAUUAUUGUUUUAUAUGAUGGUCAAAAUAUUUUUAAAUGUUUCUUGUUUUGUAAAUGCUUCCAAUCCGUACUGGGCAUUUGGCUCAUGCCGUAUUCUUCUUCUGGCAGGUUCUUAGGGGGAUCCGGGACUGUGUGAUGGAGAGCUACCCUCGGUUACAGUGACUUAGAAUUAUGGACUUUUAGUGUUAUUAAGAAUUUAUGGUUAGUGAUUCUAUUUACUCAAGUUUGGAACAUAUUAGUACUGUGUUUGCAGAUUUUGGAUUUGUAGGUAACCUCUCGUCUUAAUUUAAGAUGGGGUGUUACAAAAAGCAAUCAAGCUAAUAUUUAGAGUAAACUAAAAAAGAGCAGCUAGUCUAAUAUAUACUUCAAUGAUGCAAUUAGUAGAAACAAUCACAAUACCAAACAAUUAACAAAUGGACUCACCGAUGAGUUUGAGGAUGUAGGACUAGUGUCUACUGGAAAAAGGGAGCCCGCUUAAAUUUACCGCUGUUUUUAAUGAAAAUUGAUUUUUGGUCUUCAGGUGAACAAGAGCCAGUGCAAAUGUGCAAUCCUCCGCUUGAUAUACCACUUGCAAUACUAGGGGGUGUUUGGAUUAAGGUUGGGAAUGGGAAUCGGGAAUGAGAAUGAGAAUGGUAUGAUAACCCAAGGGAUAGGAGAAGAGUAUCAUUUAACCACCCAAAAGAAUUGGGGUUCCCAUUCCAUAACACCAAAUAACUAAUCCAAACACUUGUCAUGGGAUUAAGGUUCCGAUUCCCAUUAACCGGGCUCAUUAUCGCUUUACUGCUGCAUAUAUUGUCUACAAUUAUAGAGAUUUUCCUGUCCUAUUCUUAUUACAUUAAGUAUCUUUAGGGUUAGAACAAACAUAUAUAGUACAGAAGUAGUGGCUAAAAUGUGAGAAACAUAAUGUCAUGGAAUGUAAGACGCAUAAUGUACUCUACUCUAAUUUUUAUAUAUAGUUUCCAGUACAGGUAGGAGAAAAAUACUUGAUUAAUUAAGGAAUUCUCCGCCUUCAAGUUUCUGAACUCCUCCAGCGCUGAUAAAGUUCACAACAUUAUCCUAUGAAUUAGUACAAAGAGCAGUGAUAAUACUGAAACCGAGAAAAAUGUAAAUUUCUAUAUACCAAUUAACAAACAUGCACAAGUAUACCUCGUACGUUUUUUGUGGGCACAUAAAGAACGAAUGCUGCAUUUUGUUGCAUAUGUUUUAUAGAUGUGUAAUACAAAGAAAAUACCAUUUGUACAAACUAAAAAUCAAUUUUUUCCAAAAUGAAAUAUAUUACUUGUUGUGAAAGAAAAAGUUACAUGAACACAUUAGUACCAACUUACACUACUGAGACAUGUUUCAUUUUGCCCUGUAACCAGGGGCGGACCUAAGUAGAGCCCAGCACCCCCCUUGGCCCUCCCUGGAAUUCAGACAGUAUUACAACUAUAUAUGAUAUGCAGAACAUACAUUUGUUAGUUGGUGUUGUCUUGAGCCAAUUUAUAACUAUAGCUAGUAUAAUUAUAAUCUAUAAACUGAUCAUUUAUGAUAUUUAGUUAUUAAAAAUGUAUUCUUUAUCAAACUAUAAAAUCGCAAACAAAUAUAAAUUUCUUUAUUCGUUAACUUUUUUUAGAAAAAUUACAGAUAAGUUAUUUUGGCCCACCCUGGAUAAAAAGUCUGGGUCCGCCACUGCCUGUAACCAAUGCUAGAAAUUUGAUCGCUACUACGGUUAUGAUUUAUCGGACAACCCUAGCUAAAAAAGGUACUUUGGACACAUUUCGUAUGGUAUUUUCUGUAAUCUAAGCCUAAUUUUCACUGUGCUCAAUAUUGUAAGACAUUUUAGGUGAGCAUGGAUUGAGAAGAGGCAAUGCAAAUGCAAAAUGAAUAUAUUGUCCCGGGUGCUAGCUGCAAUUAGUGGUGCGUACCCGAAGGGUAGCGGCUGCGGGUUUCUACGUUAAAAAAUAAAAAUAAAUUAUGUGUAACUAAUAACAUUUUAAGCUUAGUGUGCAAGUUCUAAAAAAAUGGUAUAUAGUUGUUAGUACCUUAGUAAUGUUAUGACAGGUUGCAAAGCUCCUGCCUCAAGAGCCAUUUUUAUGUUUCGAGGGGACAAGUUGAUGACAUGCUCAAGCACGCUAACCUAUCAAAACCGCCAACUACUUUUUAAUUUGAAAGCUCUGAGCUGAAUUUGAAGCUAGGAUUUAUAAACUGAAAUGUAUACCACAAAAUUUCAGGCACCUAAAAUUUCACCCUCCAACUUACCGCUUCUUUCUGUAUGGUAACAUCCUCAGAGCAAAGCAACAAAGUAAGGGCAGGUAAAGCAUUGCAUUCUACAAUCUGAAAAAUAAGGAGAGAAUUCAAAUUUACAAACCUGAUUUUUGUUUUCAUGAUUUUCAAAAGACAAAGUUCUUAACGCCCCAGCAACUGCUCUCUGCACCUUCAAAUCAGGGAACUCAAGCAGUUCAACAAUCGGAGGGAUACCGCCUUCAUUCCUGUUAUAAGCAAAAAUGUCAAAAUUACAUAGUAACCUUAGUUGCAUCUCCUAGGCAGAGUAGACAAACCUGGCGCGUGAUUGAGUGCUGAUAUUAUCCUGAGCAAGAAUCUUGAUUGCAUCAGCUAGCUGCUCUCCUCAUAGCACCAAUGAUUGCCGGAGUGACAAACUGCAGUACAAAUCUAUAUAACUAAAUCACAAUGCUGACCACUCUCUAUAACAUGGUACAGAAAUAGAGGGCCAGAAAAAAAAAUGCAGCACAAGGUCCAUUAAAGAGAUAGAUCUUAAAUUAAAAAAAUGAUCACAAAUCAACAAUUAGUAAAUAUGCAAGGUAUUGAAUAGUUGCUAAUUCAAAGUAAACAGCCGUUUUCACAUUUUCCUAUCCUACUGAUUAUAUAAUAAAAUUGUAACUUUUUAGUCUUUGUAAUAAAAGUAGUGUAAUUUUUACUUUCAAUACCGCGAGUAAAAGGUUACACUUUUAUCUUAUAAUCACUAUGGCAUUAGUGACGAAUAUUAAAUGUAGACAAUAGGAAAAUUAAGGUAGAAUAUAUAAGAUAAAAAUGGAAAAUAGUCGCGCAUCGCAAGAGCUUGAUUCACAUAAUAAUGAUGUGCGCGGGAUGAUACACAUUUGGGUAGAUUUUUACGGUCACUAUUGUUAGAAGAGCUUUUUUCUAGCAAGCUCUUUUCACACUUUCUGGGAUCGGUGUCGUGCAUGGUGAAAUCAAGCUGUGUGUAUGAGAGGAGAUAAUAGUGAGGAGUAUUAUGGUAAAGAGGUGAGUGAUUAUAUUAUUAGUUUCGCAUUAUAUUGUUGCUUAAAAGUUAUCAUUAUAAUCAUCUUAGUCUUUGGAGAUUUUAUAAGAUUUAGUAAUUUAUAUAUGAUAUCCAUAUUAAUUACUCCCAUCCCAUUUUAUGUGAGGUUAUUUGACUUUCACUAAGAUUAAGAAAAAAGAGUAAAAAAGAGUAAAUUUACUUAAAAAGUAGGUAAAGUGGUAGGAAUUAUCAAAAUUUAAUAAUAAAAUUGAGAUAUUGGAGGAAAGUAGUGGGUGUAGUGGUGUAUGUUAAUAAAGAGAGAGUAUAAAUUAGAGAGGUAGUGAGUAUAAUAGUGAAAAGUAGUGUUCAAAAAUACUAAAUAUAAUAUGUUCAUUCUUUUCUGGAUGCUGCAAAAAAAAAAAUAACGGUCAUAUAAAAUGUGAUGGAGGGAGUAUGCAACAAAAUAAUAUCUACUNUAUAUAUAUAUAUAUUUCCACUCUAUUCUUGUGGAACACUCUUAACGAGUAAUCUAAAUUAAUACUGUCCUUCACUACUGUACGUAAAUAAGUUAUUUUUGACGGUAAAUCAUUAUCAUUCCGAUAAAAAUAUUGUUUUGAAAUAAAACUUCUAUUUCACGUGGCUAGGACCCACCUCCAGCCUUAAAUCAGAGGCUCCACAUGUAUAAUUGAUUAAUUAUAUAAUUAAUUAGAAUAUAUAAAUAGAUAAUUACAUGUAGGCCCCACAUUAAUUAAUUAAUUAAUUCUUUAUCCAUAAGCAAAGGUAACACUAAAGUAAUGUUACUUUUGUUUAAUUUAAUGUUUGUGUAUGGCUCUAAUGUGAGGUCUAAAGUAACAGUAUUUUGAGUGUCUUAUUUGCCCAUAUAUGACGGAAUAUCAUAAAUGUUUAUUCAAGAAAAAGUUUUAUAAGAGCAUCACACCAGUUAUAAGUUAUUAUACAAUUGAAGUCAAAAUAUUAUUUUGGUUUGUCGGUUAAUUUUAACUAAACACAUUUGUACAAUACAGAUUUUAAUAUAUUAAUUAUGAUAUAUGUAUUAUUGUGAGUGAUUUUGAUGCGAAGUCUAGCCUACUUGAGAUAAAAUGUCAUAAAAUUACACAUAAUAAUCCAGCAAAAUCCACAAUGUCAUAUAGUUCAAAGAAAUCCUUUAAUUUUUGAAUACCAUUUAAAGAAUCAUAAUUGAAUACUACUAGAUUUUUAAUUACACAUUUUAUAAAAUCCAGAUUUAAGGAUUUCAAAGGAUCCGAACUCCAAUCCUAAUAUUAAAAUAUUGAAUAUUGUCACACGUGUCUAUUUUACUAGUUAAUAUUUUUUUAUAUAAGUUUGAAUUAUUAAUUUUUUUUAAUAGAUUGCUAAUAGGACUUGAAUUUUUAAUCUUUCAAAAAAAAUUCUUAAAUAUCAUAAGAUUAAAUAUUGUGUAAUGUGAAAUCUAACAAUUCUAAUUUAUUAAAUAUAUAUGAGAUCUAACGGCUAUAAAUUAUCAUACCAAAUUAUAAAUCAACGGACAAAAUUUUUGUAUGUUUGGGUUUAAGAAAAUAUAAUAUAAAUAUAUAGGCUAAUUAUUAGGUAGAAACCAAUUAUUAAUUUAAAUAGGAAACUAGUCCCACAAUUAAUGUGACAAUUCUAGAAAUCACUCCUUGAUAUAAUCAGCCCUCUCAUCUUUUUCUUCGUUUUUUUUAAGAAUAUCAGCCCUCUCAUCUUAUGAGCAGGCCAAAAAUGUAUUUAUGUUUGUAUGAAAAUAAUUAAGAAUCAUGCAAGCAAAAGCCAGAAGACAAAGAUUUGUGAGUUUCUGACAGGGCCGAUACCAACUAAUUUCCUGAGAAUUCUACAAUCAAAUACAGAACAUGUUGUUCACAGUUAUCAUAGCAACGCAAUUAAUUACAUAUGCAGUCACUCCACAAAAUCAACAAAAGUAAUAGAAUUUUUUACAUUAAAAUUAGAAUAAGGUUUUUAGUGCACGGCCAAAACUUCCUAUUUUAAUUCUGAUGGUCUUGGAGGAACAAACCAGCGUAAAUAAAUUGUUGUUCACUAACAGGAAUGUUGGUGCUAAUAGAGAUACAAUAAUUUGGACAUCACUGAUCACGGUUAAUUUUGGUCACAUUUAGACAGGGAGCCUCAUUUUGUGACAGUAAUGGGUGAUGAUUAACACUCCGGGAUUUGUCUAAGCUACCUGCAGCACCAUAGAGAAGGAAGUCUUUUAUAGACUCCGAGUGUGUGUGCAAGUAUAAUCAACGAGCUAGUUUCAUAUAAAUCCUGCAAGUUUAGAAACUUACCCAUGUGUCCUUGAUAUUUUGGAGCAUUUUCUUCAUUAUUUUAUGCAAUUAUAAACAUUUCACAAAUAUAUUUAACUAUCUAUAAAAUAUUAUUACUUUGGUGGCUUUAUUUUUCACUGGCAUCAUACAAAACAAGUUUAAGAUUAACCUCAAACAGAACUUCAUUUCCUACACCGCAAAUUGGGAAAACGAGUGCAGGGGAUUGGUAAAAGCUCUUUUGAAUGAGAAUGUCUUGGUCCAAGAAUCAACAACACCAAGCUCCUUCAUGACCCACAUGCCCAAGAAAAAAUCAGCAUCUCGAACUAAAACACAAAGGCACCCAUCCAACAGUGCCAAAACCUUUACUUCUCCGUGAUUCAUUCUCUUAUGUAAAGAAAUUGUACUAAAUUCCUCUAUAGCAAAAUCAAACCUCGUAAUUUUACAAACCUCGUAGUUUGGGGGAUCACAUGCUUCAAUUACCGGAGGCACCACCACAUGAACAAACUCCGGGUAAUUGUAUUCUGCAACUUUUCUCCAAACUUCAUUUAGUAAUUGUUGUUUUUUAGCUUGAAGCAUGUCGUUUCCCGCUCGUAGAGCAUCGUUUUUCUCCUGAAAAAGUUGAGAAGUUAAUUAAAUGUAAGUAUUAACUACAUAAACAAGAAGCAGCCUAACUGUACACUAUCUAAGUUAUCUUAUAAGUACCUAGACUACAUAUAUAUACAAAUAAAGGCACAUUGUACACAUGGUAGGAAAAAGUCGGCAAAAUCAUCAAAAUUUUUUAAUACCUUCAGUUGAGUGAGCUCAUUCUCCAAGUAACACUGGACUUGUUUAAGCUCGUCCAUUCCCAACAUGUCAAAUUGCCCACCCUCGUUGAAGUAGCUAAAUUUAAAUUUAAAAAAAGUAUGUCAAGAGAAAUUAAUUAUGAAAACAAAUAAUUAAUACAACACCAAUACUUAUCUGUAAGUGGCUAUAUAUAUUAAAUUAAACUUAGUCUCACCACCCUGCCCCACACCAAUACUAUAGUCUCUCGUUUACAAGCCCUAAGAAACGGCCUCCUCUUCAAAGACAGCCCUCCCAGUCAAAGCCGCUAAACAACUCAAAACUCCUGCCACCAAAGACCACCGUGCCUCCGCCGCUAAGCCCGUGAUCACAGAACGCAACAGCAAAGUUAAUGGCCGAAACUGCCGUAUCCGCCUGCCAGCCACGUGCGCAGCUCGUGUGUUUCAGCUAACAAGGGAGUUGGGGCACAAAACCGAUGGCCAGACAAUUGAGUACUAAAUUUCGAUUAAGUCUUUAAUUGAUCAGAGUGUGGAGAAUAUGUUGGCAGCUACAUGGAGUACCUUUAGAUCGUCUGCUGAGGAGGAUUGCUGGAGGUGGAGUUCAGUGAAUUGGUGAGAUUUGAGAAACGUGUUGAAUGAUCCUGAUGCACAUUUUAGUUGGCUUAGUGUUUUGAUUGGAAAGCCUAUCAGGAUGUUGGUGUUGAUUUCAGGUGGUAGCCAUCUGAAAAACAAGGGGAUAACUCAAAUAAGUUGUUGCCAUUAACAUUAACAUUAUGGAUAUGAUUGGAUUAUGUAGUACAUCAGCAACAAGAAUUUACAAAAGUGUUUAGGUAUGACAAUAUUUAUAAUUAAAUAAUAAUAUAACCAACGAUAUUUUAUAUGAAUCUUAUAAAAUUAUAAACUUACCCAUGGUUGAAGAAUGUAUAUUUUCUGGAGCAUUUUCUUCAUUAUCUUCAUUAUUUCUGCAAUUAUAAAAUAUUCACAAUUAUACAUAAAUCUUAUAUUAAUCCACAUAUACAUCUGUCAUUAAAAAUAAAAUUCAUUAAUCAUGAUUGCACAUCAAUUGUAAAAUAGUAGUCAUCAAUCAUAGAAAUCAAUAAAUAUAUUACAAAUUCAAGUAUGAAUAUCACUUAACAUUCAAGUGAAAAAUUCAAAUAUAAGCUAACUUAAAAUGGGAAGUAAGAAAAUUAUAUAGUAAUAUACUAGUUUGACCAUCGAUAAAACGAAAAGUAAGACUACUUGACAUUUGAACAUCUAAAAUACGCAUAUAUGUUUCAAACUAGAUAUGAUGAUCCUAAUAGAAUUUGAUCUUAUAUUAAUCCGAAAGAAAUGUUAUUUUGCUGGAAAUUGAGUCGAGGCACAAUCAACCCUUGGAACCGCAACCAGUUCAAUUCUUGCAAAAUCAACAUUAGAUCCAAGCGAAUCAGAUCUGAUCUUAACUGAAACUUAUCAAUAUAUGUUAUAACCAAAAACGAUCCAAUCCAAAUGGAUCCGAUCGAAACCGAUCUGACCCGAAUUAUCAAGUAUACUUACAAGAUCUAAUAGAUUUAAUAGAAAUUGAAAAUAAAAAUAUAACGCGUGCCCGAUUGUACGACUUGAAUGAAAACCAAAUUACAGACGACACACAUAUUAAAUCACAUAAAGAUUUGGAUCAUACAAUAAAACAACGAUCCCAAGUAUUUUUGCACGAUAUCUAUGUUUAUAAACAACACAACGCUCUGAAUUUAAUUUGUAUGAAUUUUGUUGGUGACAACAUUCGUUGUUAUAGGUGUAUUUCUCUAUUCUGAGUAUAAAAUGUUCAGAUGAGGAGAUGAGAUGGGAGAAAGGGGAAAUUAUGGGAGGCGGCUAUGAAUGAAAUAGGGUAAAAGAUGGUACAAUAUUUAUAGGAAAAUUAUGUAUGAAAUAAUAUGAAAAAGGCCCAUUUUAAAAACAUAUAGGCCCAAUCCGGAUGAACAAAAUUUUAUAAUUGCGAUCAAAAAAUUAUACUUUGGUGGCUUUAUUUUUUACGGAAUAAUACAAAACAAGUUUAAGAUUAACCUCGAACAAAACUUCAUUGCCUGCACUGCAAAUUGGGAAAACGAAUGCAGGCCGGGGAUUGGUACAAGCUCUGUUGGAUGAGAAAGUCUUGGUCCAAGAAUCAACAACACCAAGCUCCUUCAUGACCCACAUUCGGAAAGAAAAAUCAGCAUCUGUGAAUAAAACACUAAGGUACCAGGCCCUCUGGAUCCUCCUCCGAGAGAGCAUCUCUGCAGACUUCUGCUGUUGGAAGUAUCAGGCUCUUCGAAGUUCCCGACUUAUUAGGGCCUUCUGUUGCAACAGAAUUAAAUUUUCUCAUAUAUGAUAAUGAGUGGAUAAUAUAUCAUUCACCCGGUCUUAGAAUUUAAUUUGAUAUCAUAACUUAUGUCAUAUAUGAUAAUGAAGAGAUUAUGUAUCGCUUUAUUAUAUAUAUGACCACCACAUCUUAGUUAGUUGGACAAAAUUUUAUAUUACAAAAACCCAAAAUUUAGAAAAUUAUCAGAUUAUUUUUUUUGUGGUUCAUGAGGAAGAGGAACAAGAUCCAGUAAUUCCUCCUUUAUGUGAUCUUUGUCUAUUGUUUUUGUUGUCUUUGUCAUUUGUUUAGUCACGAAUGUAUAUAUAUUUAUUAUUAUAAUUAAAAAAAUUAAGAGACGCAAACACAUAUAUAUUUUGUUAGUUAUAUACUAUAUCAAAUUUACAGAUAAUGUAGACUUUUUAUCGAGGACUUAUCAUUUAAAUUUAAAAAUAUUUCUAAAAAAACAAAUUUAUCAAUGAAAUGUUUGAUUUGACUAAAUAUACUCGAUCAAAUUAAUCAAUCAUAUAAACGAAAUUAAAUAUAUUACGAUGUAGUCUUAGUGUAUAUAUUUCAAUUUUUUUGGAAGUAAUUUUGUUUUAUUUUAAAAGAUGUAUAUGACACAUAUCCUGCCAUAUGCCGGCCUAUGUUACUCAGACUCGGGUUCGGAGUGUCCGACACGACACAUAUCCGAGUGUCAGAUUCGUUAAUCUCGAAAAUUUAGGACACGGAGACACCGUCCAAAUUUCAGACUCGGGUACGGGGACACGACAAAUUUUAAAUAUUAAUUAUCUUUUAUAUGUUAUAAGUAAAUAGAAAUAUAUUUUUAUUCAUUAUUUUUUUAUUUAAAAUAAUUAAAAUAAACAAUUUAUUUGGAAAAUAAUUGUCACGUGAAAAGUAAACCCAUUUUCUUAAAAAAGAAAAAAGUAAACCCAUAUUAACAGUACAGACUUGAUGUCAGCUGGUUCCUUUUAUAAUAUUCAAAAUGGAUAUGCAUCCAAAUGAAAGGUUUCGAGUUCUACUAUUUUAGAUAAUUUUGUUGGAUUUUUAAAAUUUUAUCAACUAUUUAUCCCUAAUACACAUUCAAAUAGAGAGCAACAUAGGCAAAUACUUAACAAAAUACAUAGCACUAUACAGAAGCAUAAACAGAGGCAAAAAAAGGGCACAAAAUUUAAAGUUUCAAUCAAAUACACCAUCGAACAGAGCAACAUAGUAGAUACAUAGCACCAUAAAUAAGACACAAAAUCGAACAAAAAAACAUAUUAGAUACACAGCAACAUUGAUAACUCUCCAACCUAACCCUAAUCAAACAAAUUAAGAUACAAAAUCAGAACACAGAGAAGAACACAAACCAAGAUAAAAAACCCUAAAAAGAAAUGAAUUUUAAGACACAAAAUAUCAAACGAAUUUUAAGACACAAAAUAUCAACAGAAAGCUCUAAUCGAAAUAUUAAGACAUGCAUUAGGACAAAGAUACGAAUAUUACCUGAUUGAUUUGAAGAUUUGCAGCCUGAGAGAGGAGAGGAGAGAGCAGCGUGAGAGAGGAGAGGAGAGAGCAGCGUGAGAGAGGAGAGGAGCCCGGUGAGAGUGGAGAGAGCCGGUGAGUGAGGAGAGGAGAGAGCACACUGAGAGAGGAAAGUGGAGUGGAGUGAAAUUGUAAUUUUGGGGGUUUAUUUUGGGGGUUUAUUUCAUUGUACCCGCGAACAUAAAAUUAAAGAGCCCACCUAUUUUUUUGGUACCAAUUUCACCAAAAUGUUGCAAACUAUUGUGACACUAAUAAAAAUGUUACAAUUGGUAUCACAAUUUUAAAAUCUGUGAAAAAAUUACCAUGCGUGCAACACUUUUCAGUUUAGAUAACAUUUUCAGAAAAUGUUGCAACUGCAUAGCUAUUUUUUCCCCAUAGCAACAUUUUUAGCAACAUUUUUGACUUUUGUCAUUGCAACAGGCCAAAUAUGGUGUAGUGUAAUUUUAUAAUUGUUUUAUUUGAUUCAAAUAAAAAUAAAUAAUUGAUAAAAUUUUAAAAAACUAAUAAUAUUAGUUAAAAUAGUAGAACUCGGAACUUUUCAUUUGGAUGUAAUAUCAUUCAUAACAAAUGUGCAAAACUCAAUACAUAAUACUUUUAGAAUUCGACUAACGAUAAAAUGAUAGUCAUGAUACAGAUUUUUAAAUGAGUAACUCAUUUGAAUCACUUUUUCAAUCAGUGACCAAUUUGAGUCAUCGGACUGCAAUGAGUCACCUGAUUGAUAUUUAACCCUAAUAUUGUAUAGAGUACGCUUCGUUUAUACACACACAUAUACAUCCACAUCGUCUUCUUCAUUCCAUUUUUCUUUUCAUCUCCUUCGGACUUCUUCUUCUUCUUCUUCUUCUUGAUCUUUAAUGUCAUCUCGCCUCUCCUCAAAACGUGACUUAUCUCUGACGAGUUUUGAUUUAAAUUGCUCCGACGACCUUUAACUUUUCCGGCGACGGAGAAGAAGUCUCGGGUUUUCAAUGGACGAAUCCGCCCCAUAUCCCGUGUCGUGUCUUGUCGACACGGGUACGGUCGCCAACUCCGGUGACUCAGAGUAACACAGAUGCCGGUUAUUUUGGCAAAGGAAGCCAUAUGGCGGAAUGAGAAUCUCCUCAUACCUAGCAGUGCAGUCUACAUGCAUUUUUCUAAUUUCUUAUAAUCAGGCACUAAUUUUGGUGGGUUUAUUUUUCACGGAAUAAUACAAAACAAGUUUAAGAUUAACCUCGAACAAAACUUCAUUUCUUGCACUGCAAAUUGGGAAAACAGAAUUAAAUUUUCUCAUAUAUGAUAAUGAGUGGAUAAUAUAUCAUUCACCCAGUCUUAGAAUUUAAUUUGAUAUCAUAACUUAUGUCAUAUAUGAUAAUGAAGGGAUUAUGUAUCGGUUUAUUAUAUAUAUGACCACUACAUCUUAGUUAGUUGGACAAAACUUUAUAUUACAAAAACUCAAAAUUUAGAAAGUUAUCAGAAUUUUUUUUUUGUGGUUCAUGAGGAAGAGGAACAAGAUCCAGUAAUUCCUCCUUUAUGUGAUCUUUGUCAAUUGUUUUGUCAUCUUUGUCAUUUGUUUAGUCACGAAUGUAUAUAUAUUUAUUAGUUCUAUGGAGACCGUAAUUUUAUCGAAGACCUCGGAGACCAUGUAUGUUCAGCAAUCAAAACACUAUAAAAUACUUUAUUUUGUAAAAUAUGUUCUACAAAUAUCAUAUAUUCUUUAAAAUUGUUAAAGAUCAUCUAUGUUUAAUAAGUAGAUAAUGUAUGUUCUGCAAGUUGAACAAAUGUUCUGCAAACUAAACAUAUUUCAUAGAACAAAACAUUUUGUAAUGUUCCACAUGUGAAACUUAUAUGAUAUUCAAGAUUUUAAAUGAAAUAAUGAUUUCGUAGAACAUGAUUUGCAAAACUAUACGUUUUGCAAUGUUUUUAUGAAAUAUUUAACUUGCAGAACAUAGGUGGUCUCCAGGUUUUCAGAAAAAAUGUGGUCUCCAUUGAACUUAACUCUUAUUAUUAUAAUUAAAAAAAUUAAGAGACACAAACACACAUAUAUUUGUUAAUUAUAUACUAUAUAAAAUUUACAGAUAAUUUAGACUUUUUAUCGAGGACUUAUCAUUAUUUAAAUAUAUUUCUAAAAAAGCAAACUUAUCAAUAAAAUGUUUGAUUUGACUAAAUAUACUCGAUCAAAUUAAUCAAUCAUAUACACGAAAUUGAAUAUAUUACGAUGUAGUCUUAGUGUAUAUAUUUCAAUUUUUUUAGAAGUAUUUUUGUUUUAUUUUAAAAGAUGUAUAUCCAUCAAUCGAUUUGACCAUAUAUAUUCAAUCUUCCGGAAGUGAAUAUACAAUCAGAUAUAUAAUUAAGAAAGUAUCUAAACAUGUAACAUAAAUAAAUUGUUAAUUAAUCAACAAUUGGUGCCUAUUAAAUAAUAUAUAUAAUUUAGGAUUAUAUAUUAAGACUUAAGUUCUAUGGAGUACAAAAAAAAUUGGAGUAUUGGAGUACAAAGUUUGAUAAAAUGUAAUCUAGUCAUCUAAAUUUCAAUUUUUUUUGUCUAAUAAUAUUUUUAAAUAUUUGACAACCUGCAUAUUAUGUUCUGCAACAUAAACAUCAUGAUCAAAUGGAAGAAUAAUUACUUUUAUAAAUCAUAGGACUCUCUGUUCUGCAAUAUAACUAAUAAGCAGAACAAUAAUCUUAAUACUUGUUAAAGUUGAAAGAUAUUAAUGAUUAAUUGACAAUUAUGUGCAAGACAACUUAUAAAUGAUAGAUUAUAUCAAAAUUUGGAUAAUCAAAGAUAUUAUAUAGGAUCAAACUAAAAUAUUAUGAUUUGUACUCCAAUACUCCAAUGUUUUUAUGUACUCCAUAGAACUUAACUCUAUAUAUUAAUAUUGUUUUAUAUUAGUUUCAUGUCAUUUCAAAUCAAAAUAAUCUCGUGUAGGCUUAUACUUCUAUUUAAUAAAAUAAUAUAUAAUAUAUAUUAUAAAUGAGAUCAUAUUAUAUGUGUGUGUGUUGUUGAAAUAAUAAAUUUACUAUCAAUUUUGUUCACCAAUAUUAAUUGGGGGGAGGGGGGGCUAACAAAUAUGAUAGAGACAUAAAACUGUUACAAGCGGAAGCACUAGCCGAAGAGCUUAAGAUUUAGGUCUAGUGCAUUCUUUUCUUGGUCCUCAUUGUCGUUGUCAAGCACUAUAGGAUGAUUGCUGCUUGAAUCGCUUGAUCCAACAGGAGGAGCAGUCGGUGCAACAGAAGCCCUAAUAAGUCGGGAACUUCGAAGAGCCUCAUACUUCCAGUGGCAGGGGUCUGCAGAGGGGCUGGUGGAGAAGGAGCCAGAGAGGCAGAUACAAGAUGAUACCCACGGACCGGUCCAAAAGAAAUGAGAGCCGCUGAUGCAGGUGGAUUAGCCGGAGUGGGUGGUGGAAGACGAGAUAAAAAAGAGUAAGAUGAUCCCACCAUUGUCCCCGGCGGAUUAGUGGCGGACAACCCUAAAAAGGGUUGACCGAUCCGCUACGGGUCAUGGAUAAAGGAUUUUGACGGUGGGUUUUAGCGCUCCUCCGCCUUUUUGCCGGCCGUCCCUCCCUGUGGGCAUUUUGGUAUCCUCGUGGUAUGAAGGAUGUAUAUUUUGUGGAGCAUUUUCUUCAUUAUUUCUGCAAUUAUAAAAUAUUAGCAAUUAUACAUAAAUCUUAUAUUAAUCCAAAUAGACAUCUAUCAUUAAAAAUAAAAUUCAUCAUGAUUGCCCAUCAAUUAUAAAAUAAUAGUCAUCAGUCAUAGAAAUCAAUUAAAUAUAUUACAAAUUCAAGUAUGAAUAUUACUUAACAUUCAAGUGAAAUAUUCAAAUAUAAGCUAACUUAAAAUGAGAAGUAAAAAAAUUAUAUAAUAAUAUACUAAUUUGACCAUCGAUAAAAUGAAAAGUAAGACUACUUGACAUUUGAACAUCUAAAAUACACAUAUAUGUUUCAAACUAGAUAUGUUGAUCCUAAUAGAAUUUGAUCUUAUAUUAAUCCGAAAAAUUUCUUAUUUUGCUGGAAUUUGAGUCGAGGCACAAUCGAUCCUUGGAACCGCAACCAGUUCGAUUUAUGCAAAAUCAACAUUAGAUCUAAGCGAAUUAGAUCUGACCUUAACAGAAACUUAUCAAUAUAUGUUAUAACCAAAAACGAUCCAAUCCAAAUGGAUCCGAUCAAAACCGAUCUGAUCCGAAUUAUCAAGUAUACUUACAAGAUCUAAUAUAUUUUAUAAAAAUUGAAAAUAAAAAUAUAACUCAUGCCCGAUUGUACGACUUGAUUGAAAACCAUAUUACAGACACACAAAUUUAAUAACAUACAAAUUUGGAUCAUACAAUCAAAAUUUAUUAACAUAUAUUAACAUCAAUUCAUAAAAUUUGGGUUCAAAUUCGAAAUUUAUACAAAAUACAUGUAUAUUUAAAAAGCUUGAGAUAUUAAAUAUAUUAACAUCAAAAUUUGAAAUAUCCAAGAGACAAAACAAGUAUCCAUCAAUUCAUAAAAUUACCUAAUAUGUAAAUUAAUAAUUUAAAUAAUAACUUCCAAUUUGAAUUAGAUAAAGUCGCGAUCCCAAGUAUUUUUGCACGAUAUCCAUGUUUAUAAACAACGCAACGCUCUGAAUUUAAUUUGUAUGAAUUUUGUUGGUGACAUCGUUCGUUGUUAUGGGUGUAUUUCUCUAUUCUGAGUAUAAAAUUUUCAGAUGAGGAGAUGAGAUGGAGAAAAGAGAAAUUAUGAGAGGCGGCUAUGAAUGAAAUAGGGUAAAAGAUGGUACAAUAUUUAUAGGAAAAUUAUGUAUGAAAUAAUAUGAAAAAGGCCCAUUUUAAAAACAUAUAAGCCCAAUUCCGGAUGAACAAAAUUUUAUAAUUACCAUCAAAAAAUUAUAAUCACUAACUUUUAAAAUAAUUAUGGGUUUUAAUUGUACCAAGUUGUAAUAAAUUUAUAAUAUAAGUAACUAGUCGAUACAAUUGUAUUUGGUGAUGACAUUAUAAUAUUUUAUUUUUGUAUAUUUCUAAAAACAUAUUUAUCAAGUUUAUGAUUGAAUCAAAAACUCAAUGAAAAAUUAUAGAUAAUACUAUAUAUAAAAAGAAAAAUAAUAAUUUAUCAAUGAGGUUUUUCACAAAUACCCGAUUCUCGAAAAACUUUUGCAAAAAUACUAUUUUUUUUAAAAUUUGCAUAUAUAUUUUUUUAAAAUAUAAAAAUACCAUAUUUCUAAAACUUCUUUACAAAAAUACGAUGUUUACACUUAUAACCGUAUCUGUAAUCACAAAUGCAACUUAAAAAACUGUUGAAAUUAUAUAUAUAUAUAUAUAUAUAUAUAUAUAACUUAUAUAAAUUAUAUAUAUAUAUAUAUAUUAUAGUUUUCUGACGAAAAGCUAAAAGUUCAAUAAAAUACUCAAACCUAGUGGGGACAAAACCCCAACUAUCCACUAGAACCUGAUUGUGAAACAAAUAACGGACUAGAAAAUAGUCAUUUUGUUUUCAGAUCCUUUAACACAUACACCUUUGAACAUAGUAGCAUCGUAAUUGACAUUGAGAUAAGCACCAUCCUCAGCCCAAUGUUCACAACUAUAAGUUACAUAAACUGAUAUUGGAAUAACAAUUGUCUCCAACACAUGAAUAAUUUUUCGUCGUGAAAGGUAAACUCUUGCGAUAUUCACCACCGUACCAUAUUUGAUGCGAGUCUUAUGGAUCACCCAAAUUACAAUAUAAGCCAUUAUUAGAAAAAUUACCAAUACCCUUAACAAAGCACACAAAACAUCAACAUUCCCAAAAAAUGGGCACGAUCUUGAUAACAAGGUACUCAAUAAGAAAUCACCCGAAAGGAUUAGAUCUUGAUUUUGAUGAAAGAGAAGAUGCUUGAUCAAUGAAAGAGGAUGAUGGUUGAAGAGUAGAGAAAUGACGGUUGAAACCCUAACUUUGAAAGUCUCACUCUCAAAACUGCAAACCCUAGAAUAAUAUGUUGAAAUUAGAUUUAACUGCAAAGUUGCAACGGCUUUCAUGAGUUCUUCUGCUGAGCGAGUACUAAUAUCAAAAAAGUAACAAAAAACUACUAAAAUCAAAUUAAAAAAGGACAACAACAAAAUGGAUAAAACAAGGACAUUCUGAAAAACCCAUCAAUAAAUUAAGCUAAUUUUCACAUUGCAUAAAGUGAACAACCAAAUUGCAAGACUUUAAUCAAAAUGUGAUGGAGAGAGAUAGAGGGAGAGAGACGGAUAAAGGAAGAGAGGGACAAAGAUAGAGGGAGAGAGGGAGGGAGAGAAAGAGGGGGAGAGAGAGAGAGGGAGAGGGAGGGAGGGAGAGAGAGAGAGAGAUAAAGGGGGAGAGAGAGAGGGAGGGGGGAGAGAGAUUACCUGAAUAGUGGAGGUGGGGUGGGUUGGAGAGGCAGCACAAAAGUAGACAAAGGUCUGGCUCUUGGGUGAGGCCCACUAAUAAGUGAUGGUGCUGCAGAGCUCUUCUUGACACAACAAAGCCCAGAUGAUAUCUGAACAAGAAGAUGAGCUCCCAUUGCUAUGAUUUUACUAUCUAACAAUUCUCAACACCGCUUAAUCCAUGUUUGCCUUUAUAUAUGUGUUCUCACUUUGUCAAAC
rnacentral:lncRNA from 1 species